GUGGAGGGGGUUAUCAGAGUCAUCAAUCUUUAUGGAGGGGGCCAUAGGUGAGAAUGGCAAGGGCAAAAGUCGCGUGGGCAUGGUGACGACGAUAGAAAAAGAGGGGACAAGAAGCGAGGGUAAAAGGCGAUGGUGUGAGAUAGAGGCGAUGGCAAAUAGGGUGGAGGUUAGGAGGGCAAUAUCAUCUUUAAAAAAAAAAAGGAGUGCUCUAAGAAAUUUUUUGAAAAAAUGAAUGUUAACCGAUAAUUUCUCAAAAUAAAAAGCCUUUUCUACAAAAUUGUCUAAAGCAAAAAAAAAAAAAAAAAAAAGCCAAACAACGUGGACAUAAAAGGAAAUGAACAGAAAAGACAUUCUUUAUAUAUCAUGACAUUCUCCUAGUGAUUUUAUUAUAUUAUUAUUUUGAUAUUAAUUAAACAUUAUAUCUACCAUUCCUCUCCAUGUUUAAAUAUCUACCAUCAAGAAUGUGAUAAAUCUUAUCCCCACACCACCAAUAAUGAUUCGACCAUGAAUUAUCUUUCCUAAUAAGAAAUAUAACUCAAAUUAUGUAUGUACACUUUCUUGGUUUCAUCCAUCGGGUCCAAUCUCUCACCAAGAUGAUGCUAUAAUUGAGGAAGUGAUUGAUGAAAUGCGUCAUGUCAUGUAGGGUUCCUAUCAAAUCUCAUGAUCUCUCGUUACCAAACUUUCAACAUGCUCUAAAAAAAAUUAAAAUUGGCCUCAAAAUUUACGAUAAUAGAUUGAUGCUAGAAAAAGGAUUAAAAUAUCAUAAGAAAUCAUAUUGAGAUUUUGUAUGAUCAUUCAAAAGAUCCUAUGCCUCAAUCAAGAAUGGGGUUGGCAAACCAUUCUUCUCAUUGUUUGAAACAUCUAAGCAUCAAGAAUGGGUAAGCAUCUAUGUAAGUAAAUCUUGUACCCACACCACCAAUAAUGAUUCCUUCAUGACCAUGGAUUCUCUUUCCUAAAAGAAGUUUAACUCAAAUUACUGUACAUGUUUCAUCCAUAAGGUCAUGUCUCUCACCACCAAGAUGAUGCUCUACACCAUCUCCUUCUCCAUCACUGACAUAACUGGCAUCAACAUAAUAGAAUGAUACCUCAUAAGAUGAGUUGCAAAGAUUAAAGAGAUUUUUGAUAGGAAUCUCCAACUUUUGUUACCCCCAACUUUGAAAUUUUUUUAUCUAAGAAUUGGACCUUGUGGAGUAUGUGUUACUCCCACCGUAAUAAGUCCUUAAGAAGUCUACGUAGGUUAUUCCUCUACUUGUAUUACACAAAGGUAUUUUUAUUAGUCUAAAAGAAAAAAAGUGAGAAGAUAUCCCGCACAAAUCUCUACCCGGUAUAUUAUAAUUAAUACUGAGUUAUUUGGAUGAAGAUGGGGCUAAUUAUAUAUUUUUCACCUUUAAUUAACUUUUUAUGAUCUCAUUGGUUGUUUGCGGAUCUUAUUAUCAAGAAGUGUAUCCAUGACCUCUUGUAUCAAUUUCUUUUGAUACAUUACUAAUUUUUCAGACGUAGAUCUACUUAUUACUAAUAGGUCGAUAAGAGUAUUAUUCCGAUAGAUAGCUCGUGUAUAGAGUCUACUAAUAUCCAAUUCAUCCUUAUAUAUAUUAAAAAUUAUUAAAAAUUAUAAAAUUAUUAAUCAAAUCAAAUUAAUUGAUGUUGAACCGAUUAGGUUAGCUAAAUUCAAAUCAAUUCCAUACAUAUGCAUGCAUCUGCUAUGUACUCACCUAACUAAGCAUGGUCGGCUACGUAUGUACUCACCCAACAACUACGGCAGCAUGUUUGGUCUGCGGAUUGUUUCUGGGUAAAGAAGCAUCAAAAUGGUGUAGAUGUCUGAGGCUAUCAGCAGCAACACGUACACAAUCAUUUGUUUAGAUGGAGCGUUGAGGUUUGAGACGAGAGGGAAGAAGAGAGCGUGCGGCCACGACUCGAAGAGGCAAUAUUGCAUUGCCUCGUUGCAUUCUUAUAUCAUUGCCCGCAGCAUCGUGUGGAGAGAAAACGAGACAGCAAAGGCACCUCCAUGAGGAAGCUGUGCCCGAACCUGGACCGAGAAGAUGGACUGGACACCGUCCUCGAAGUGCCCCUCCCGGAGGAGAUGUUCCUCUCCGGCGACAGCUCCAAGAGCAGCAAGAUGCUCUGCAUCAACGUGAAGGCGUGGAUGCGGCCGCACGCCGACCCGUCCCCGCCGUGGCCCGUUGGCCGGGAGGCCGAGCUCCAGCUCCCGCUCCUGCUUGGUAUCCUCGGCGCCCCGCUCGUCCCGUUCCCCGUCCGGUCACAUAAACCCACCCUCGUCCGCGGCAUGAAGGAGGCCCCGAUUGUGAGACUCCGAUCUCGGUGCUUCUCGACAUGGACAGAUACAGUGCUCGUCUUGAUGUGGUGUCUUACGCGGUUCUCCUUUUGCGUGGAUGGCAGGAAGUCUCCAUGGCUAAAUAUAUCCUGCAGCAAUACAUCGCGGCGUCGGGAGGGGAGCGAGCGUUGAACGCGAUAAACAGCAUGUACGCCAUGGGGAAGGUCCGGAUGAUGGCGUCGGAGUUCCCCAAGGGGAACGGGGGCGGAAAGAGGGGCAAGAAAUGUGGCGGCGCAGUGGAGACGGGCGGGUUCGUGCUGUGGCAGAAGAAACCAGACCUGUGGUGCCUGGAGUUGAUGGUGUCCGGGUGCAAGAUCAGCGCCGGGAGCGACGGCAAGGUGGCGUGGAGGCAAACCCCAUGGCACCAGUCUCACGCCUCCCGUGGCCUACCUCGACCUCUUCGCCGAUCUCUUCAGGUUCGCCACCGCACGCUCUCUCUUCCUUAAUGUUCUUCUGUCCUUGGCUGCCAUGGCGCAGCUAAGAUUCACAUAAAACCGGAAAAGUCUAACCAACACCUUCUUCAUCGUCUGUCACAGGGUCUUGAUCCGAGAUGCGCGGCCAACUUGUUCGCCAACUCGGUGUGCCUCGGGGAGAAGACGAUCAACAGGGAGGACUGCUUCGUGCUAAGGCUGGACGCGGAGGCCGCCACCUUGCGAGCCCGAAGCAGCAGCGGCGUGCAAAUCAUACGGCACAGCUUGUGGGGGUACUUCAGCCAGCGGACGGGCCUCCUCGUCCAGCUCGAGGACUCCCACCUCCUCCGGAUCAAGUCCGCCCAGGAGAACGUGUACUGGGAGACCACCAUGGAGUCGCUCAUGGAGGACUACCGCCCCAUCGACGGCGUCAACAUCGCCCACACCGGGCGAACCACCGUGUCCUCGUUCCAGUUGGGCGAGGCCAGCGAGGGUCACACGCGGACGCGGAUGGAGGAGACAUGGACCGUGGAGGAGGUGGACUUCAACAUACGGGGGCUCUCCAAGGACUGCUUCUUGCCACCGGCGGACCUGAAGCUGGCGGGGCGACGGCCAUGAAGUGUGCUCGCACACGCUUCGGGGGCCAACCUGCCGUUGCUAGGAUCAGACUGUCGUAGGUGGCCGUAGAUGAACAAUUCGAUCACUGUCAGUACAUACUGCACCAACGUAUACAGUUUUUAGUGUGCUAAUUAAUUUAAGAUGCAAAUGAAUCAUAAUUCAGCCAAUGUCAAAAGGUCAAACCGGAAGAUAUCAUGGCAUUACACGUCGAGAUAGCUAAGAACAUACAAACGACAUUAAUACUCUACACUCACGUAUUAAUGCAGCAAAAGUACGGUGGAUUAAUCAACAUAAGCUAUUAAACCACACUGCUUGCUGUGGGAUCAGUGCUGAUAGAUUACAACUUCGAAAGGAACAUCUCUUCACAGUAUCGAGCACCUAUUAAGUCCAAGAGCCGCGAUGAUUCUUCUACCAGAAGGCCAUAAGCGACCAAGAAAUCCUAUCCGUUCAGGUUCAGGUUCAGGUUCACGUUCAUGUUCACUGUCAGUCACACCCCCAUCGAGAUCGGUCUUACUGAUAUCCUUUUCUGAGCCUGAAUUCUCAAUUUCAUUCUCUGCUUUAUCUGGAAUCUUGUCGUCUUUCACAUCACCUCCAACUUCAGCGAUUUCUCCGGGCUUCCUGUCAAAGAGCCCUUUGAAUUGCCUCUUUGCCUUCUUAUCUUCCUCCUGAUUCAACCAAAUGCACUAAUCAGUUGAUCAAUGUUUAUAUAAAUAUGAACACUUUAUGUACCACCAGCCAAAUACCUGUUCCUUUUGCUUCAGCUUUAGAAGGGCCGCAGUAGCAUCAGGUUCUGAAGAUUUAUCAAUGCUGAUCAUCUGGAAGGUUCAUUACAUGAGCAGAUAUUGGUUUUUGUUCUUAAGAUAUCAAAUGAAGGGAAGACACAGAGCAGGAAGGGGCAUGACUGCACCAUUUCAAAAUCUUUCUUCGCUUCAUCAGAAUCUCCAACUAACAUGUAAGCCAUGCCACGCCGAUACAACGCUUUGACAUGUACGGGACUAGCAUCUAAUACCUGCAAUUGGAAUCGACAAACAGCAGCUCAAAUUCAUCAUAAAUUAUGCCAUGCUAACGUGAACCUCAAUCAAAACACAGAAGUUGCACAAGAAGCAAUAUACAACAGAUAGUUGAUGCACAACCUGAUAUUAGUGCUCCAACUAGGACAGACAGCAAAACAAUCUACCGACUAAAAGCAAUACACUGACUGACACAAGAUCCAAGUAUCAUUUAAAAUAAGCCCAGUUAACUUCCCUAGUUUCUCAAUUGAGUUGUGCCUAAGCUACCCCCUUAAGAAUUUGCCGUAUAAGGUUGAAAUUCAUAUAAUCCAACUAAAUAUUUGACUAAUCAUACACCGGCAUAAAUGUUAGAUUUCAUUCAGAGGCUGCAACCAAUACUCCAAAUAGCAGAUGCUAAGGAAAUAAAACCUUUCUCCCACUAUUCCACUUGUCAAACACUUUGAACGGAUCUCGAGCUUGAACUGCUUGGGCUUGACUAAAUUUCGCUGUCAUCAUUCCCAUGGAAGUUGGCUUGUCUUUGGCCAGAUUUGAAACCAGGAUUGAUUAUGCUUAAUUUAGUGAACAGUAAAUCAAGUUUAAUACAUCUAGGCUGAAAAUUAAUAUUCAGCAUUUAGGUUAAAUGGAAGUUAUCAAGUAAAUCAAACAGGCUCGUGUUUGGUUAGCAUUGAAACUUAAAUAUUAAGUCAAGUUUCACUAAUAUUGAUUUCUGGACUGGUUUCAACCGAUUGUCACUCAAAAAUUGAAACAACGCAUUACAAGAGUCCUUGAAUCUACCAUUCAGCAUGAGGCAGUCAGUGUCUCAACUCUUCUUUACACCAGUUAUAGACUAGUCAGAUUGUUAAAAAUGAUAAAUAUUUCAUUCUUUAAUCAUAGCAAGUCUAAGAUGAUCAUGAAUUUCCAGUAAAUUCUUCAACAGAGACUCUGAAUAUCAAACUCCAUUACUCUGAAAAAUCCUGUGGGUAUUUGUACGCAUGAAUUUUGUUGCCAGAACUCAAAAAAUAUAAUAAUUUACCUUAUUGCAUGUCUCAAUUGAUUUUCUAAAUUCACCCAUUUUCUGGUAACAGGCUGCAACAUUCAAAUGCAAUGAAUUCUGCAAGCAUCAUCAAAAGGAGAACUAUAAAAUUAUACCACAGAUUUCCAAGACAGUAACAUUUGGCUGAUAGAUAUUGCCUGACUAGAGUACAGAAUUGUCUCACUCUUGAAUUCAAAAAGAUUUUUCCUUCAUCAUCGUCUUGUGGAUUUACAUGAUUAUAUUCCCGAAGCACCUGAAAAUAAUAAAAAGAAAUAAGUUUUCCCAUGACAUGAUUAAUAAAGACUAGGUCACUAGACCACAUAUAAACUAGAAUAGAUCUGUUUUUCUUUUACCAGGUAUUUUGUAGCACUACCAAUAUGCUAUCAAGUGAACUAUACAUGAGUAAAACCCUAUUUUAAUAAGAUGAUAUCAAUACUUCCAAGGAUGAGAUAGUUGACAUGGAGCAUAUUUUUCAUGUUAUCAGUACAAAACACAUACCAUUACCAAAUUUUCUUGAUGAACAACAGGAUCUCUAGAAGCAGCAUUUUGUGAUUUUAACAAAAUUAAAGAGAGAACAAUAAACUAAAAGAAAAAUAUCCAUCAAAGAUCACGGUAUCAUGUAAAGUGAAAAUAAACAAUCCAGAAAAAAGAAAAGCACACCUUUUGUUUGUUAGCUUGAGAAUGCACAGAGCCAGAGUAUGGAUGAUUUUCAGUAAACAAACCAAAAACACAGUAAUACAAAUGCAUGUAAAUAGAGUGAUCAAAAGAGAACAGCCAGGAAAGAAGGUACAACAUGACCUUUUGAGGACUACACUUUAUAUACAAAUGAAGCAAGUCAUUCAAAGUUCACCAAUACCCAAGACAUCAUAGUUUAUCAAAAUAUGCAGCAACACAAUCAAAUAAAUUUCAAUUAUAAGAUGGAUAACUUUGAAGUACAUUAAAUACUAAACAAUACCAAGGGGAUCAUACCUUCUCAUACUUCGCUUUAGCAAGUUCAUACUUCCCUUCUUUAAAUAGCCUGUUUCCCUGGAAGCAAAAAAGAAAACAAUCAGCAAUCACCAUUUUUUAGGUACAGUAGUAACCAUCAUUCUUGUGUAAAGAUUGAGGAACUCUAUACAGUCAAAAGCUGGCCUCUAAUACUUCUUUUGUAAAAGGUAACAGAGCACCAAUAUAAAGAUAACAAAUGAAGAGCCUAAAAGUGGCAUUUUUAGCCUGUUAUUACAAAAGGUUAAAAGGGCCUGGCGUCUAUUUGGCUGCCAGAAUAAACAUAUUAAUGAGAUAUAGAAUACCAACUUAAUUCAAGUGAAGCAUGCAUAUAAUAUACUUCGAACAUUUUAAAACCAAUUAAUGUUCUAUAAGUGCUAGAAUGGAAUACUUCUAUAGUUGAAUGGAUUUGAAUAAAAGGAUCCGUAAAAUAUUUGACAAAAGCAUGUAAACUACAACUUCAAGGGAGGAAGAUCGAAUAGUCAAAAUACAUACUGUGUUUUUUAUGUGCUCCGCAUCAUCCAUAAUCUCUUGAAAAGACAAUCCAGUCCAAUCCUGAUGCCAUAUAUGUAUUAAAGGUCAGUGACGUGAUUCAAAAAAACGAAAAAAAAAAAAAAACAGACUGAAUGAGAGCUUUGUUGAGACCAAUAUCACUGAUGAAACCAAUUUCAGUGUUCUUUGCAUGAUCAGAAAUCUUACUGAGCUUUGUUGAGACCAAUAUCACUGAUGAAACUAAGAGCUAUCAAAACCUUUAUUAUCAUUACUAAUAAUACUCUUAGGUCUUCCUCCACCUCUUUUUGCACCACUAGUUCAAACCAACCUAUGGUUGACUAUUAAUAACGAGGUUUAAGAGUAUAUCCUAGUAUGUUAAGACCUAUUCCAUAUAAUUGUGAAUUUUAACAAUAAAUGAGAUACAUGCCAAGGCCUCCUCAUACAGGUUUCCUGGAAUUAUGCUCACAUAAAAACCCAAAGAUUUUCUGAUGUCAAUGGCAGUAUCUUCAUGAAGUGUUCAAAAUCUUGAGCGAGAGGCUGCAAUACUCGAAUAGUGUUGUAUCAAAGACAAAUGAGAAGAAAACCGUACACAAAUGGAUCAUGAACUGAAAUGCAAUAUUAUUGGUAACUUAAACUUGAGAUGUCAUUCGUGUAAUCUGUCAACAUUAUCAUGAAAGAUGUUAUAUAUCCACCUUCAUUGAAGGAUAAAGCAGAGUGAGUUGCAUGCCAAAGAAGUGAUCUUUGUGAGUACUCUAGUGCAUCUAUAAAAUCAGAUAAAAGAAUCAAAAUUUUUGGAACUUUCAAGAGGUACCUUGGGCAUUUCAAAGUCAAGCAACUCGAUUUCCCACUGAACAUGAGCUCCUUCAGGAACAGUGGCAGGUCUGGUCAUGAAAUGAUCAUAUAAAUUUCAGUAACUAAGUUUCUAAAAACAUAGUGACUCAAUUUAGAAAAGUUAACCUUGUAAAUUUGUCAUAUGCAUAAUCUGGAGGGCAGGUAACAAGGGAUAUCUCUCCAGGAAGCAUUAGUCGAACACACAUUUCAAGUCCCUCAGGCACCUGAAGCAUGUUGGAAAAUUUAGAAAAAGCAAUAUUAAAUCAAUAUAGCAGUUUAAUAUCCAAAUAAGGAGUUGGAAACAGCACCACUGUUGAAGCUUAUCAAAAGCAAAGAGAUCUCACAUUGACACUAUAACAAAUUUUUACUUACAUCAUUACCAACGUAUAAAGAUUUAGCAAGUUAUGAUGGAAUAUGAAGUACCUUAUUUAGCUAAGUGUAAUCCACAGGUCACCUUUUUUAUGGAAUCUUGGGGGUGUGAUUAAAUAAUGACCACACGGAUACAAGCACAUGAAGAAAUAUGUAUGAAAGGCUUGAACUGAAGAUCUUCCCUAUGUACCUGCACUCACUACGUAGGUGUUUGGUUUAUCUGGACCUUUUCAAAAAACUUAACCAUUUCCAAUUAAGGUAAAACCAAUUUCAGUGUUCUUUGCAUGAUCAGAAAUCUUACUAGAGGAAUUACCUACAUUUAAGUGUGAGCAUUUAAUAGUUCAAUAGUUUAACAGUUUAUUCAGAUAAAACACUUAAAGAGAAAAGGAUACUACAGUCUAGUUAAUCUCCAAUGUCCACAUAUAAAGAUUUAGCAAGUUAUGAUGGAAUCUGAAGUACCUUAUUUAGCUAAGAGUAAUCCACAGGUCACCUUUUUUAUGGAUCUUGGGGGUGUGAUUAAAUAAUGACCACACAGAUACAAGCACAUGAAGAAAUAUGUAUGAAAGGCUUGAACUGUAGAUCUUCCCUAUGUACCUGCACUCACUACGUAGGUGUUUGGUUUAUCUGGACCUUUUCAAAAAACUUAACUAUUUCCGAUUAAGGUAAAACCAAUUUCAGUGUUCUUUGCAUGCUCAGAAAUCUUACUAGAGGAAUUACAUACAUUUAAAUGUGAGCAUUUAAUAGUUCAAUAGUUUAACAGUUUAUUCAGAUAAAACACUUAAGAGAAAAGGAUGGUACAAUCUAGUUAAUCUCCAAUGUCCACGUCUUGAAGUGAUGCCUCAGCAAUUCAUGCCAGAGGUUAAAAGGUAAAGUGCUUACAAGCCCUUCUCCAGAACUGAACUCCAAAGGCUGGCCAUAGUUAUCAACUCUAGUAUCAUAAAACACAGUCUUUUCUUCAUUAAGAAGAAUUCCCUUGUAGUGCACCCUCAGCAAGCUGUCAUGAAGAGGACAGUCCAUUGGAAAUUCACCUAUUCAUUUCCAAAGAUUCAUAAGUCAUAUAUUACACAAGAAUCUGAAACAAAGAGAUCUGUCAGUAAUGGCAUCUGAAGCUAAGAUUUAUACAUGAAGAUUCUCAAAUUAACCAAGGAAUAAGAGUAGAAGCAUAGUUUAUGUCAAACGAUAACUAAUUCAUAUGUCAUUACUCAGUAACAGAUUACUCAUUCAAAAAUGACUGAUAAUAGCAGAAUGACAUCAUAAGUACAUAAGGUAACAUAUAAGAAUAACUUGUCACCUAUAUAACUGGCAGCAUUCAUAUAAAUCACAUGUAUAUGAUGCUACAGUUUAAUUGGAGCACAUCAAACUUGCCAUACACAGUAUUGAUGCACCAAUACAUGCCUCAGGAGUCGUCUCAAACACAUGUGAUUCAUGACAAUCAACCUACGACCAUCACCAUAUUGAUACACCAAUGGCAUACGGUGUAUCGAUACACUAAGUCGUGGGAUCAAUUUCAGGAUUUGGUCCGACAAACAUAUCAUAUUGAUAUACAGAUAUAUAGGAUCGAGGACACCGAUUCACCACUCGUGAAGGCCGAUUGUUCGUUUUGGUAGUAGAAUCAAGUAUAUCUACACAUGUAAUUACUUAAUUCAUUUGAAUUUUAAAGUUUAAGUUGUAUACAAAAUAAUCUAACAAUUCAAAUAAUUUGUCUAUAGAUAAUUCAACAUUAACGGAAGGAUGAUCCGGAACAGACCGAAAUUGCGAACCUUGCACAAGGCUACUUCUCAAAGCCCGUAAAAGAUAUGUGGUACUAUUCUUACCUAAUUUACAUUACUUUUGCUAAAACUAUACUAAAUGUAUAUUUAUUUCUAACUUAAAAACUGUAUCAUAACUUUUUUCUAUUUUUCACGUAUUUUCAGAGGGUUUUAUGCCUAUUUUAGACGUAUCGGUCGAUAUGUCGUACCGUACCGUACCAAGCAAAGGUCAGUACAUCAGUACGGUACGAGAUUAAGAACCUUGAUUACAACCAUCCAAAACCUAAAUGUGAUUGAACUCAGAUCUAGGAAGUCACACCAAUAACUAAACAUGGUUACAUAACGUAUAAAUAUUAAUUCAAGUGUUGUAGAUCCGACUACCUUUGCAGUUAUGACAACCAAGUUAUAAAAGAAGUGAUAUGUUGAAUAUCUACAAUUAAUCACGAAACAAAAGGUGAAACAAAUUUCACCAUAGCUUAGAAAAUAAAAAUCUCUUUUGAUGGUUACACAACUAGCAAAGGCAAAGGAGAAGCAGCAACGAACUCUUUGGAAAAGACUAAGCUUUUAAACUCUAAACGCCAUAUUAUUAUUUGAUGAACAGCAAUAUAAGAAUGAACCAAAAAAGUGUAUAUCCAUUUUUAUACGGAUUUAGAAAAAAUAUUUUCAUAAUUAUGAAAUAUUGCAAUGUAGUUAAGCUACAUUUACAUUAGUAAAAUAAUAAUUGGUACUACGUGUUAAUGGAAGAGGCCAGGAAUAAAUUCACAUCAUCAUUUAUGAGAGGCUUAUGCUGCUAGCAUGUCAUCCAGAAGAAAAUAUGACAUUUCCAAACUUGCCACCAGACUUAUUCCAUUUUGACCAUCAAUUGUCCAUGUUGUCCACCAUUUGCAGAAUCUAUGCAAAAAAAUCACCAUGAUUUUUGUUUGAGCUAUAAGAGAUUCGGCAAUAACAUCAAUUAGAGUUGGUGCUGUAUCCAUUUAAUAUAAUUUGCCGACAUAUACAGAUCCCAUCUAAAGAUCAUGGUUUUGUAAAGUUACAAUGUAAUCAAUAGACAAAUUCAAUGUUACCUGGUUUGAUGUGUCUUGAGCAAUGAUGUGAAAGGGAAACAAAGUGAUUCAUAAAAACAAAAACAAGCACUAAUACUGACAUGAACAAGUUUUCUCCAUGCAACAUAUCAUUGAACCAAGCAUAGUAUCAAUAAGAUCACUAAAAUGAUGAAUUUGAGAAAUAAGAUUGACAACAUAAAGAAGAGACUCCUCUAAUUUCCAUACAUGGUCUAUAUUAGCACCAUUAAUGUUGCAACAUAAAACGUCUCAAAGUUCAGUAAAACAAGUUUCCAUGAUUGUGAUCUAUUAUAUACUAUCAAUAUGCACAUGUUUCCACCAGGUCCACUGGGUGUCCCACUAAUAACCAGUGUACUGUGGUUAUGUGCAUGCAUAUACUUCAAUAGCCAGAUCAAUAGAAGAAUAACUCACUAGGAAUUUAUAGAAUUAUAUAAUUUCUUACUGCCUGAUAUGUGAAAAGACAAAAAUACAAAAAAAAGAUUAUUUGAAAAUCUGAUAUUUUGAUAGAAAUGUAAUAAUUAUCUUGACAAGUUACAACCUCGUCCAUCAACAAUCCGGCGCUUUAUAAGACGGCCAUCACCAAGCAUGUCCCUUACCUGUUAGCUGAUGACCAAAUAUUAGACCCAAAAGAAAAUUGGUAACAAGAAGACAUAAAAGAUCACUCAUCAGAGAUAUUGUCAAAGCUGCAAAGAUUAGUAAAAGACAUGUAGGCUUACAAUUUCACAUGCCUAACAGUAAAAGAAAGUGAAGGAAUAAAAGAAUCAGUCUGUAUGAGAAGUUUGGUAGUCAUAUAAUUGGUGUCUUGACUCUUGUUUUGUAUAACAUACUGUAUGCUAUUUCGACAAUCUAGCCUAUCCAGGAAAAUGAAUUAUUGUACAACCACUAUAACAUGACUGACCAUAAAAACAAUGCAACAUUUUGGGGAAAAAAAGAGUGUUCUCAGAGUAAAAGGUACAAAAUAAACCUGUAUAAAAUGGAUUAGUUCAACUUCAAACUGGAUUUCUUCAUGAUCCUCAAUCAUAGGCAUGAGAGAAGAUUUUGUCAUGUAGGUUUUGCUCAAAAAAAUUGCUGCCUUUUCUCCUCGUGCCAUUGUCCCAAUACCCAUCUCAAGCCCUUUUGGUAACUACAAGCAAAAAAGUUCAACAUAAUGUCAUCCAAAUGAAAGGCAAAUCAAGAUGUUACACAACAAAGCACAACCUUAGCAUCUACUCAUUAAUCAGAAAAUUUAUCCGCUUAUUUAAACCUAAAAGUUGAGAAGUGUAAACCAGUUAAAAAGGCAAGUUAAUAGCAAACUAUUCAAAUUAGCUUAAGAAAAAUUCUCCAAAAUUAUAAUAGCUGCAAAUUCCAGUGAGAAUCACAUUCAACAUGGCCAAGUCUAAUAUGAUUCCAGCACCUGCCAAUCAUCUGUAUCAACGUUUCAAAUCACAGUAUCAUAGUAACACUACAAAAAUGAAGGUAACAGAUAUUCCAAAAACUAGAAAGAGAUUUCACCAACCUCAGAUCUACCAAAGGUAAAGGAAUAUGGAUCCUCUGAAUGUGACAGAACCAAUUUUCCAUCGAUUGUCUUAGCAUUAAUCCUGAAAUUACCAGAGCAGGCAUCAAUUGAUAAUAUGUGACAGGUGUGUGAAACUAGAGUAUCUAGAGUCAGAUAAGUCAUAGCUGGAAAAAACAAACUAAAGCAAACAGAAAACCAUUAUACAAACACAUUAUACUUUAAAAUGAAUCUGCAGCAAUAAAUAUAGACAUUCACUAAAAAUUUACCAAAAAGAAAUGAUAAGUUUUGUACUCGUACAUGCAAGCAUGUCAUUCUACAGAAUGAAGAGUAUAUGAAGAUCAUAAAAUGAUUUUUUCUAUAUAACUUAUCAUAAAUAAUGAACUACAAUAAUCAAAAUAUGCACAAAAAGUAGUUGCCAAGUUUGAGCAGCCCAACCAUGACAAAAAGAUUAAAAUCUGGUUUUAUAAGAACUCUAUGAUAACACCUAACAUUACUGAAACUACAUUACCAUGCAUCACAUGACAAAUACCAGAAAUACAGUCUCCAGCCUACCUAAGAUUGCUUCUUAAAGACGCCAAUCCAUUAAUGCGACAAUCACUGAUUUAAAUAGCUGCUCGGGCGCUUGCCAAAGUGCUCGAACAAGGCGAGGCAAGGCCUGAGCACCUCGUGUGUGCACCAGGCAACACGCUUCAAUCAGGUGCCGCCUGGGCGCUCGAUUCUAUUAGGCAAACCGAACCGGUUUAAGGCUGGUUCGGUUCAUAGUUUCUUACCUUAAAACCACGCUUCAUGCUCGCGCGACCCCGAGCAACCCUAGUGCUGCUUCUGCCUCCACCGCCAACGCUUCCUACCGCUGCCUUCGCCACAGACAUGGCGGACCGAGCCUUCCUCUAUUAUCGACGGACGAGUCCGACAACCCCCGUAGCUUCCUUCCACUAUCGCUAUCGCUUCCUUCCACUGUCGAGGGAGAGGACCGCAGGUUCCUCCACCACCGACGGAUGCCCUCUGGAGCUUCCGUUGCUACCGCCGCUGCUGCCCACAACUUCCGCCAUUGCCGUUGUUGUUGUCCGUAGCUUUCGCCGCUGUCACUGCUACUGUCUGUAGCUUCCCUCGCUGUUGUUGUCCACAGCUUCAGCUGCUGUCAUUUGCAACGCUGCCGCAACUAUCUUAAACUAAUCCUUCGCCGCCGCUGCUAUCUCUCUCUGUUAUUGUUAACAUUUUUUUCUCCCCCCUCUGACUUUAAGUAAUAUAUUGUUAACAAUAUAUUUUUAAUUUAAUAUCAUAUUUUAAUUUAAAUAAUUAUAUUUUUAAUUAUAUUAUAUACUUUUUAUUUUUUUAAUAUUUCAGAGAAUUUUUUUUUCUCCCCCUCUAACUUAAGUAAUAUACUAUUAACAAUAUAUUUUAAUUUAAUAUUAUAUUUUUAUUUAAAUAAUUAUAUUUUUUAAUUAUAUUAUAUAUUUUUAUAUUUUAAUAUUUCAAAGCAUCUUGUUUUGCUCGAGCAAGCGUCUUAGGUGUUUUGGGACCUUAACGCAUUUUGGCGCCUAACGCUUUUUAAAUCACUGACAACAAUCAUGAACUUCUUAAAAUGCUGAAACCUCAUGUGGUAUAGCAUGUAAUAUAAUAUUUACAUACAUACGACACUUAACCAUGCAGCAUUACAACAUUGGCCGAUCAAACCGUGUUAAAAGAUCCACUUCUUCCAAGUGGCAUCUUAGCUAAACCAAAAUUUAGCACCUCAUCAACAAAGAAGCUCCUUAACUUCCAGCUAAAUGGCUCAGCUGUUUUCAUGGCUGCUCAAAUAAGUAAUGCACUUCCCAUCAAUGACCUAAAGCAACCUUAAUCAGUUCAAGCUUAGGGCCAAUUCUAGAUGUCAAAUUACGUACAUACAGGAGAAGAUUUAGCUUUUUCAAUUCAGUUGGAUGUUCUAUUUCAAAUCAUUCAAUUGCCUUGUGUUCUUGUGAUUAGACUGGAAACAUAACAAAAAAAGGAAGGGAUCAAAGUAUAUUAAAAAAAUCCAGCCUGUAAAUGUAAACAAACACAUUGUUGAAUUAGUCAUUGCACCAAGAAGAGGAUAUAUGCAUAUACAUACCGAGCUUCCACUUCAUAAGGUUCUCUUGGACAUUCCCAUCCUUGUCCUUCACUAAUUAUCUGAAAAUAUAAGGAGAUGAGAUGUGAAGUGAGGCUAAUACACAAACACAUUGCUGUGAUGAUUAUAGGGCUUCAGCUAUAAGGAUAAUGAUUAUUAACACAAAUAACAAAAAACUAACUAUUUUCCUUAUAUUUACAUUUGAAACAUGAUGAAAGAAUUGACUUUAUUUGCAAAAAAUUUGUUAAUCAUCCAAAGGCAAUUCAUGAUUGCAGAAAACAAUUUAAAUGUAUAUACAUAUGUAUAUGAAACAUUAACAUUACAUAUUAAUGUUGUUAGCUUAAGAUGCUAGAGAUGGAAUGAUCUGGAUUUUCAUACCCAAACCUCAUGAAGCAUAGAUAAUGUUAUCAGAAGCUAGACUCACUUUAAAAGUAUUUUAUCUGUGAGAAGAAAGACUACCUCCAAGAUAACUAUGGACCCGGGAACAUCAGAAAUAAGCAUUCCAUGAAUACAUGUUCAUCCUUUUUAAUCAUAUAUUUUAUUUCACAUAUGUUUCUCUGAAUGCACUAAAACAAAUAUGAUUUACCAAUUUACUCUUGAUUUCUUCACUACACUGUCUGCAGUAUCUUAUAGGUUAUUAUCUGCAGCAUGAUCUUCAGAUAUAUGACAAAUUAUUAUAGAACUAAUGCAAUGUUGAGAAAAUGGUAAAAUCAAUUCCUAAAUUUAAUGGGAAAGCAGCCCAUGCAGAUGGGCUACACAGCCAAUUAUUUCAUAUGAAAGCACAACACUGUUUUACAAAUGCUGAGAGUUAAACCCCUCUAUCCCACUGUUCUUCUCUGCAUAUGGCGUUUAGUUAUAUCACAUAUUAAUUUUAAAUUAGCAAAGCCACAAAAAGUUUUUAGACUAACAAAACAGAACAUGAAUGGAUUGUAUUAAUGUCUCCGUGCAAUGAAAGAAGACUUUAUAUUUAACUACAUAUAUCUACUUAAUAAGUGAAAGGUCCAUAAGACUGCUAGGUCAAAGACAUACCCAUGACUAGAAGUUGAUCUUCUCAGUAACAUGGUUCAAGGCUAGAUACCCUGAUUUCUUGUUAUCUUACAAUGAAAAUUUCUUUCAGAAUAUCCUUGUAUAAAGAUUUUAAGAAAGAAGACACUAAUAGUCCUAUUAAGUGCAAAUUUUGUCUUACAAGAAUUAAAAAAAAUCAAACAGAAGAAAUGAUGCCAUCCAUAAAAGAGUUGGUAACAUUUCCAAACAUGUCAGGUUCUCAUGCAAUUUCAGAAAAAAAAAAAAACAAGAGCAAAACAGUCUCAAAAAGCAGCCUAGUAUCUGCAGUGAAUCACAAAAAGCAAACACCUAUUCUUGAGCAUGCAGAACAUAUACUAAUUUCUUCCAAGAAGAUAUCCAAUGAGAUAUAUCAUCAAAAUGACUACUUCUGCAAGUUCUGAAAACUUGGCAAAUUGAAAACAGUACUAAACAUAAGUCUGUAUACCUUCUUCACGACUCCCAAAUCUUCACCAACAACCUGGUAUAGAGAGCAAGAUGACAUUAGAAAGGGAAAUAUUUUCACUUAAACCAACAUAGGUAAAUUACUUCCUACUGGAUGUCAAUGAACUGCAAACAAAAUUGUUGUGCUACUUCACAAUAACACUUUGUAUGUGGAACAGAUAGGUUGAAUUUUGUGCAUAAAAUUUUUUUUGGCAUAAAAAUAUGUUUAGAAUCAAAACAGAAGCAAAGAAAUAAUAACACAUAAUGAUUUUGUGAGAAUAAAAAAAGAAAGAGGCAAUGCUAAUCAUGAUUGUAGCACUGCAAGAAAUGUUUCACAAAGAUAUCAUAAAGUAAAGAUGCUAAUAUAUCCGACAUGUAAUUCAUAUUCUUACUUUAACUUUAUGAAAAUCCAGCAUCUCAAUUUCAAAGUGGAGUUCAUCAUUCUUUGGGAAGUCAUCUGAAACUGUAACUGGACAGUCCUCCUCAGCAUAGUGUAUCUCAGGUUUCAUUUUGAACUGCAAACAAAGGCCAUUAAAGUAAAAAUAAAAAGACAACCAUGAUGAAGCAAUAGUAUAGGUAACUCUAAAAAGACAAAAGGUAUGCUUCCCUCUAAAAAGCAUUGCCAUCUAAUGAAACAUCACUUAUGGUAAUGUUAAAAUGUGUUUGCAGAUAUACCAAGGAUCCAUAUGUAAUGCAAAAUUAUUGUUGAAGUUCAUUCGCACCCAAAAAUAUGAAGUAUCCUAUUUCAAAGUACAUGUCCUAGAUACGUAGAAUGUGGUUCCAUAAAACAAAGUAAAUCAAUUGCAAAUUGACAAAUAGUCAAAGAAUUAUCAUCACCAAAUUUUUUAAAAAAUCUACAUAAAAAUACAGAAAUCUUCUAGAUCCAAGUAAUACACUAUCUCUGGCAAGAAGUACAUAUCCUGGUCAGAACUUGACAGUAGGCAUGCUCUCUAGAAAAAAAAAAAAGAAACAAAUUAAGCAUAAAAACCAAAAGAAAUAAUCAAUUAAUAGGCUAUAUAAGCCUUAUGUGAAUUGCUUGUCACAAAAAGGAACGUUAAACAUGAAACACACCAAGGUUUCAUUUUCCAACAGAACUCUGAGUGAGAACCAUAUGCAGAUCACUUGGACAACACCUUCAAAGUGGUAGGUAGGGAUACCAACCAGAAACACAGACAACAAUGCAGAGCACGUUGAAGAACUCCAUAUAGGAUGUUUAUAAUAACUUGGACCAUGACUAAGAUCAAAUAUAGAAAGUGCAACUUAAGCAACAUAGGGAGAAACUGAACUUUAAAUUAGAUAGACAACAAGAAAAUUCAAAAGCAAAAGUUUUAAAUCUUAAUUGUAUUAUUAAACUAGAAAUGUGACCAUUACAAGUUUAAUAUCUAUCAUACUUGAUAGAUCAAAAUAUUAGGCAUAGGAGACCAUAAUAAAAAAAUGACAACAAAACAAGCUGGAAAGUAUGUACAAGUUCAUUAAAAAAAAUGGAUAAAAAAUGUCAACAUAUGCAAAACAUUAGCACUACUGAGGUUCAAAUGAGAAAAUUAUUUAAGGUGGUUCAUCUCCAAUGAAGAACCAGGAAAGCACUUGUUAGGCAAUGUGUUAUAAUUCUCAUUUGUAGUGAAUGAAUCAAAAUAGUUAGGCCCAAAAAAGACUAUAGAAAUAAUACGGGAUUUUAUGGAUCUUGAUUUGACUAGUGAUAUUUCCCUUAACAGAGUCUAAUAUGACCAGCAAAAUUCAAGCACAACAGUAGCAAGUAUAAUUGCUUUAGAUAAGUGGUUAAACUUUAAAGACAAUAUAAUACAAAAAACAUCUUUUGGUAAAUAACUGUACAAAUGAACCUUUUGCCUAAAUAACAGAUGUCACAGUCAUCUGCUUAAAAUUUGAACUAGAAAACCAGCAAGAUAAAAUGUAUUACCAAGAAUUACCAAAAUGAACAACAAAAAAAGGAAAUUACCAGAACAAUAUAUUAUGACCUGAGCCUGAUGGGCUAACUAGCCUAUCAACUUCGUUUGGUCUAAACCACUGACCAAAAUGCUUAAGCUGAAGUUGAUAAUAGUACACUCAUCAGACCCUUAUAAGCCAAUCUUAAUCUUGUCCACUUUCGAUGUGGAACUAAUCAGGGGUGUUACACAAUAUGUGAUAAUAAUUACUUUAGAAAUAUGACUUCACUAGGGAUCGACAGAAAGAGCAAAUAGCCUCAACUUGAUAAAAAGUAUCAUAGACAACUUAAAGGAGAUACCAUGGCUACUUCACCCUUUGUCAUGGUAGGAAUGCCUUCAAGAAACCCCAAUAUCGUCUUGCUCUUCCCCAAAACAUUUCUUAUAGGAUUUCCCUUGCCUAUCAUGUCAAACAAUCAAUCAUAAAUUAUAAAAAAAAGCUUUUGCUUAGGCACAAUGAAGAAUCUUUAAAUCUAGUCAAAUGUAAUUAGCAACUUUUCAUGUAAAGAGAAAAAUAUUCAGUAAAGUCACACCUAUAAACAAGUGUCACAUUUAGAUUUACCAACAGCUGCUGGUGGCACAUUGAAGCGCAGCGGACAUUCACAUUUUUCAUAUAUUGUUCUCUUCUGGAUGGGCCUAUAAAAACUAGAAUUUUUUAUAUAUAGAUGACACUCCUUUUGGAUCAAACUAUUUAAUUCCUUUCAUUUGAGCUUUUUGGACGAAACACAUUUGUUAGAUUAAAUUGCCUUGAGUUACUGUCCAACAAAAAUGGCUGAAUCUCAAACCAAAUAUGUACACAAAUAAAGGCCCGUAAUGAGAUAACCAGGUGGUUCAUCGCACGGUAGUUUGACACAUAAACUAACCCACAGGAUAAAUAUAAUGCUAAAAAAGCCAAAAGGCUUUCUAAGCAAGAACGAACAACAACCUCAUCCAGAUUCUAGCAAGGCAUAACCUUAAAACUUCUUUAUGCAUGUGAAAUAGCUUUGCUGUAUUCAUUUAUGUAAAUUGCUUCUAAUAAUAUAUUUAAAAUUAACAAUUGAAAACGAAGAUCAUCAACAACCAACUUUUCCAUCAAGGACUCACACUUGAGUAACUAGUCCAAACCCAAAGAUAAUGACCAGAAUAGUAGUUGAUCUUUCUAGGCCCUCAACUUCCCUGGAAGAUCUAGCAUGCCAAUCUCAUCUCACAUGGGCUUCAACCGAUGGGAGCUGACAUGCAGCCAAGUACUCCUAUGCUUGAUUAUUCACAUGCAGAUACAACUCAAAAUGUAUCGUGCAAAAAGGUAUCAGCACAUGCUACGUCAACUCAUGCUAGAGGUGCCAACAUAUGACAAGCCAAUGUUUGGCAUGCGACAAUUGGCAGAGGGCAACCAACAUGGCAGCGAAUUACACUAUGCAAAAAAAAAAAAGGCAUGCGCUCCCAUGCCACAAAUCAGGAAUCUUUAAGUGCAGCAACCAAAACAAGAAGUAAACACUCCUACAUUCAUGUAGGUGAACAUGCAACUGAACAGCACCCCCAAGCGUAAGAGCUGCACAUACUUAUAUAUAAGCCAAAUAGUUCAUUUGAUAAGUAACAAAAUCAUAGAAACAGUGAAAAAGAGAAAAUGUAAAGAGACUGGAAGUAAUAUAGACGAUGAAGCAUGAGACUUCUUAAAAAAACACCUGCAGGUAGAUCCAUAAAUAAAUAUUCACCUCCAUGUUCUAAUCUUGUUGAAUCGACAACAAUACCAUCUACGGUCCGAGUGGUGCAAUGGAAUAUAACCUGCAACGCAAUUACAAUUCUUUAAAGCCUAAGAAGGGUGUAUUGCAAUUGUCAAAAGUGGCAUGUUGAACAAUUGAAACAGCAAUAAAGCUAUAGAUAAUGUUACACUGAAGCAGAAUGUGGAACGGGUUCCAAGCAAUGACAGAAAGAAUAAUCAAGAUGGACGAGAGAGUUUACUGCAUUAUGCACAGAAAAACACAGUCUCCACUGGACAUCCUAUAGAUAUAUACAAAAUCAAUUCAAGAAAACAGUAAAAAUGUAAAAUCUGAUUCAACCUGCAAAGCUUCUUUUUGAAAUAUGUAAUAGGUCCAUGAUUGUCCAUAAUAAUGAAUCAAAUUCCGAGGUCGACUAGGAAAGCUAUAAUUCAGCAAGCACAGUCAUAAUGCACCAAAACAAUAUAUCAGCUGAUGCAUGCACUUAAGUUCAGAUCUCAGGUAGAUGGAUGCCAUACUAGAUAAUAAGAUUUAUUACCUUAAGCUGAUGAAGAAAAUUUCACAGUGAAAAUAGUUUUGAAAGGUAAAAAUGCAUUUAUCUUUUCUUAAGCUGCAUGCUGGUUCAGUUGAUCCAUCAGGCCAGGUCCGGAUCUUGGACAAUGGUAGCUCGAUGGUACAAUUUAUUCAAAAUCCUUUCCUUACAGACUCGACAAAUUCGCGUAACUUGGAAAGCCUAAGGGACCCAGAAGUUAAACAAAACCAGCACCAUGAUUGAGACCAACUGGUCAAAUGAAACCUGUUAAAGCCUAGAUAUGUGAUAAUCUAGAUCCAAGCAAAUAUGUGAUUGUCAAUUAUAAGUUCUUCCUUGCUUUCAAUUCAUUGAUAAUCAUUUAAAUGUCAGAUAAUCCAAUGAGUGGGUAAACCAUAUUACAUUAGAUCAUACCUAAACUUAACAUAAAGAGAAAAUAUAGGUUCAAUUUAACUGUAAGUCGAUUUUCCAUGAGAUAAAGCAUUUAAAGAAUGGAAAACAAAAUAAAUGUACAAGCAAAAUUCAUCCAAUUCGGAGAUCCCGUACUAUUUAGCAACAACUAUCCAAUACAAUAGAAGAACUCUUAAAAUAAAUGAGAACAACAGUGUUUAAAGCUCACACCCAGAAAAAUGAAGUAUAAACCCACCUUUUAUAUAAAGAUAUGAAGUAUAAACCUAUAAGAAGCGGUGGACAAAGAAUUAUAGUACCUGAUCUCCCUCGACAGGCUUCUCUUGGCCCUCUCCUGAUCUGAUAAUUGCUUUCAUCAAACUUCCAGGAGUAAUUUUUUUUCUCCUAGUAAGUAGAAGGUACCAGAUUGGUCAAUUCAAGAGCUAAAUGAACAGGCUCCAAACGACCAAAUGAUGCUACUUAACACGAGAGGCCUAAUAAUUUUAAAUGAACAUGUAAUUAUUAUGUCUUAGAAAAAUGAAAUAACAAAUGGAAAAGAUUGUCCUUCCGUUGGAUCACAGUUUUUGAGGAGAUGAUAGACUUGGUGGCACAAGAAUAAUAUGAUUAAGAGAUAGGUGCGUUCACAAUUUCGCAAAUAACAAAUGUAUGACAUAUCACAAGCAGCAUGAAUUAAAUGUUAAGAUAAAAAUCCAGCAAAACUUGGCAUCAAAACUUUAUCAAAAAAUUUUCCUUUCUUUCCUACAGGCUAAAUGUGUGAACUCACACACAAAACAUUCUCUUGCAUUCAGUCUAGCUGGAAAAGCCCAACAUGUGAAAAGGUAUGACCUGAGCGGAAAAAAUUCAUUCCUGCACUAAAAUUCAAUCACCUGAUUCACAAUUUGAUUCAACAGUCAGAUUGAAUUUAACACAAUGCAUAAAGAAGCAUAAAGAGCAUGCCAUUCUACGAAUCAGAUGCUCAACACAUUUGAGCUCAGUAAACAAUCAAGAAAAGCCAGGUUUGCCAAUAUGUAAGAACCAAAAUUCGUAUCCGUAAAUGUUACAUAUUGCCACUUUCCGGUUGGCAAAUUCAUUUACGAUUGCAAAUAUAAACUCUAACAAUGGAAAGAUGCUAAACAUCAUCCUUCCAAAAGAUCGACAAGAGGACAAACAUACACCAGAGAGCUCUAAUUAACAUACCAAACUUUUUUCAAAUUUCUACAGUAAAUAAUCAGCAAAAAGUGUUGUCUUUUUUUCUGGUACUACUCAAGAAACACUUUGUACUUGCGAGAAUCCAACGAUUCACAACUGUGGAACUUGUCUGCUGCCAGAGAUCAAGUUGGUUAUGAUAUCUUAGACCGAUUCUCAUUAAUUCUAACUUCCACAAGAGCAAAACCAUGAAGCACACAGGAAAAUUUCUAGAGGGCUUCAAAGGUAAUGCAAGGAAGAGAGGAAGAGAUUUCCUAGUACGAAAAAUUGCGAAUUUGGAAAUGAAGCCAGAAGAGCAAAAAUAACAAAUAAAACAAAGAGGAGCAAGAAUUAGAGGGGCAACCUCUUCUCGGAUUCAUCGUCGGACUUUUUCUUCUUCGUGGGUGCGAAAUUUUGAUCUGGUAAAUCGUUCUCGGCCAUCUCCUCGCUUUCCUCCGUACGGAUCUUUCUCCUCCUCGAAUCGAACGCCCAAAAGAAUCAAGAUCGCAAGGGGCCUUCAAGAGCUAAGGGAGUUGCGGGGACGGCGGAGAUCGCGACGCUUGCUUCCGCGUUCUUCAAUCCUGUACCGAGACUGGACCACAUGCGGGCGGAGGCACCCUCCGGGUCCUGGUCCAGAGUCAAACCGAAGUCGGCCUGGACAGGUUGGGACCUCCGUCUACCCAAGCAACACGCACGAGCACGACACACAAGGCGAGCGGGUGGAGAGACAGUGGCAAACGAACCGAAGCGGCCCAGUUAAAUAUAGACCGGUUGGAUCGCACGGUGAACCGACACCGAACCCCCACCGUGCCUCGCCGCCGGAGAUCGCCGCUGCUGCUGCUGCGGGCGCCGAGAAGACGGUGCAGGCCGGCCACCGGUGGUUUCUUGUUCCUCUUACAUAUAAACAACCCUAACCGUAAGAGAGAUCGGAGAGCAAAUGGGAGGAGAGGGUGAGAGAUGUUUUCCUUCUGGUGGCGACUCGACGCGGUUCAUCUGAACCGUGAAUCAGAGAAGGAUUAAAAAUCGAACCGGCCCGUCGAUUUGAUGGUUUGGAUGUCAAUCGCUGUUAUGCAAGGAAAACUAUGUCAACUUUCAGUGACCAUAAUAUAUUAUAUAGUCUUCUCCUCUAUUAGAAGACUUAUGUUAAUGUGAUCGUUGUAAUAUCGUUUAUAUACGGACGGUUCAAUCUAGAUUCACAAAUCCCCAUUCUAAGCAAUUUAACUCUGCCCAUUAAUUUAAUGGUGGCAGCCAACACAGGAUAUAUAUAUAGAGAGAGAGAGAGAGACAAAGAGAAAGAUGACACACUUGUAGCAGCUUAUAACCUUACGCUCCGUCUACAUGCCUUGCUUUGCCUCACAAUUGCACCAAGAAAGCCUUUAAGCAACUCGGCGCGAGGCCGAUCGCCGAAUAAGGGAUUGAUGCGAUGCAGCUGAAGCUGGUGCAGAUGCGGCAUAAGAAGAAGAAGAAGAGGAAGAGAAGAAACCAGACAUGUUGAAAGCAUAUGACAUGCUUACACUGGGUUACUUACACGUAAGAUUUCUUCCACAUCAGAGAGAACCGUUGCCAUAUCUAAGUUGUAUAACAAAAAGAGCUGUCAUAUUCUAUGGUGAAACCAAGACAAAAAGUGUCGAUCCGACCCAUGGAAAUCAGAGGAAGGGGAGAAGAGAACCUUGGAAACUUGGAUUCUGUGGGCUAUUAACACCACCUCACACCUGAGUCCUGAGGAAUGCAGCAGAUAGUAUUGAAGACAACGACGAGCAUUUACGUGAUCUUGUUCUCCACUUGCUGUAAAAUAUAAUAUUUGACUUGAACUAAUCUUGGCAGCCAAAAGAGGACAAGUAUUUCGCAGUUUCUACUGAUGUGAUGAUUCACAUAAUAUCAGGUCCCGACAUAAAAACCAAAAAGGGGAACAAACAAUUCACAAAAAAGCAUUACUUGUAGCCAGGUUUUUCCUCUGUGGAAUCCUGGAGACAAUUGGCAUUUUUUAUACUUUUGACUUAUAUCUAAUAUGAUUCAGAGGAAAAAGAAUGGCAACCAAAUCAUGAUGAAAAUUAUGCUCACAGGUUCAGCCAAAAAAAGGAACAAAGCUAUACUUCUUGUAUUAUGAAUAAAGCUUCCCUAUGAACUCGGCAUCGGUGGCUGUCAUAUCAGAAAGAAUAGUUGUUAAUUGUAAUCUUGAUCACGCCCUUUUUAGAAGAAGAGACAAAAACUAAAUGGCACAGUUGAACCAACAGUUUCCCUUAUGCUACAGGUAGAUACUCACCUGGUCACUUGACCGCAGGGAGUCGGACGGAGAACAAAUUGCAGAUCAAAGAAAGUACACUGGUUUUCCUGUUUAUAUCCACGAGUGACCAUUGUGGCUGCGGCAAACAUGAAAGAAUGGUUACAUGCAUCUGCAUGCCUAUUGAUUGAUUGAUAUGUACAUGUGCAUAUAGAUCAAUAACUACUGAUUCUAACAAAACUGCUAAACAGAUCCUUUUCUAUAAGUGAGUGAUCCUCAUGUUGGCGAUUCCGCAAGAACCAAAGUGUGCCACCAACCACAUGACACGUUUUUGGGCUGGAGGUUCUCUAUAGGAACCACAGAAGGAAUGUUUCUGUCAAUCGAGUCCCCUAAACCAAGCUGUGAAUGGAAAGAAAAAAAAUUAUAAAUCAAUAUUGGAAAGUCGAAACAGGACUUGAAUGGCAUGAAAAUGGUACCUGGCCAUAUUUGUUCCAUCCCCAGCAAAAUACUUGACCAUCUUCUGCAACACCACAAGUGGUCAUACCAGAUACAGUUUGUCAGUUCAUGUUCACAUAAAGGUCUUAUAGGAACAUGCAGUAAACUUGGUUAACAAAAUUGAGUUAGAUUUUUAGAAGAAGAGUUGGAGCAGCUUCCAGAUACUACAUUUAAACAAAAAGGUAAAAUAAAAAAAACAGAGAUCUUAAGAUUCUAUUAAAGUAACUUUUUUUUAUAAGAAAAAAAUAUAUCGGAUCAGGCAUCGAACACUCAACCUUUGAUAAGUAGGUCUGCUACGCUAUCACCAGACCAAUGUUUAAGGUUAAGGCAACUAUAUUGCUAAUGCAAAAGCAGCACAUGCCAGUUGGAACCAGGUUGAAUGAUAACUUUGCCUUCAAGCAUGUGAAACUAAUACAGUAGGUGCUUUUGCAAAAGGAGUCUAGGAAAUUGCUGCUUCAUUCAAAUUCCUUUUUUUUUUUUUUGUAUUAGUAUUCCUUCUUGCUCACCUCAAGUGAAAGGGGAAGAAGGCUGAGGGGUGGGAAGUAGAACAGUAUAUCCUAAAUUACAAUUGAUAUAAGUUUCUGUUUCAAAAGUUUAAAAUGUAUACGCAUCCACUAAAACACCCAAUGGAAAAGUGCAGGUACAAGUUGGACCAGAAUCUAAAGCACUAAAACAAACUAACAUGAUCGGACAAGCUUAAAAUGAUACCUGUCAGCAUGGUGCUAUGACGUGCUCCACAAGAGAUCAAUUUAGCAUUCUUGUUUUCCAGACAUGGCGCAUCCAGUUGCUUGGGAAGAGUCUGUAACCACAAACAUGAUAAGCACACCAAUAUCUAAUUAUCAAAUCUUGAAGUCAUGCAUAAAUGUUUUAAAAUACUCCAAAUUAAUGCCUAUCAUUAUAGUGCCUGUCAUGUGCCAAAUAUAUUCUAAUUACACCUUUGGCUCAUUAAAGCAUAUACUGGAAAAAUGUCUGUUGACUUUGCUAUGUGAAAAGUAAUUGUCGCGAUUAUGAAUGACAUACACCAUAUUUCUUCUGUUUUUAACUUGGAAGUCAUAGUAGUUGUGACUAAGCUCUUGAAAUGUUGCAAAGGCACACAUCAGAUAUUGAGAACUAUAUACCUCAUUAUGCAAAAAAUGAAAGAGUAGUUUGUGAUACCACUGUGAUGAGAACUAUGUACCUCAGCUUGAUCAGAACCAGUUCCUAGCUGCCCAAACUGAUUCCCACCGAAGGAAUACACACCACCAUCAACAGACGUACACACGGUAUGCCAUAGGCCAGCAGCAACUCCUUGUAUCUCGACACCCAAAAGUGAUGAGACACAUGUUGGACUCAGCUCAUCGUCCGUACUUCCUUGUCCACACUGAACAAAAAUCGCAUAUAAGAAGGCAAAGAGAAAAAGAAAAGAACACAAAAGGAUCAAUUAGUUCUUUCCUUAGAUGUUUCAAAGUAAAUCCACGAUCGAGAGAUAAGAAGGUAAUUUCACAUGUUAAAGUAGACCACUCCAUUUUUUAUAAAGUCCCUACAUGUGAAUCCUGGACAGUUACUAAGACUUAAUAAUGAACAAGGACAAUUUUAAAAUUCAUAUACAUAUAUACGGAUUGAAGUGCAAAACACCCGAGUUGCAAGGAAACCAUAUUCAAAACCAUCAAAUCCUUCCAUGUCUCUGAAUAUCUUUAUUGACUCAAUAAGAAAAUAAAUGUAGCAUUAUCCAUUCUACCAUAUCCAGAAUGAAUGAUAACAAUGGAUUCUUCAACUCGAUAUGAAACCAGGUAUAUAAAAACAGCAAGUAGUCUAAUGGUAUCCUAUCAUGUAUAUGCCUUUGGAUUAUAACUAACUUAAAUGGUCAGGGAAAAAUUAGUAUGCUCAAGGUUUAUGUACCUGGAGAGAGCAUUAUAUAUUUUAGAGAGCAUCUUUUAUUGUCAGGAAAAAUGUGAGAAUAUAUUUGCAACAACUUACAUACUUUAGAGAGCAUCUUAUAUUGUCAGGAAAACUGUGAGAAUGUAUUUGCAACAAUACAUCCAACGAAAGCCUUGUAUUUCAAAUACUAUGCAAGAAAAACAGUUCAUAAAUAGUUCCCCCAGCAUACAGAAUUCAAGCCACAAUAAAGUGAAUUAUGCACCUUAAUUCUCAGGUAGAAAAUAAAGCAAGCUAACCUAAGUUGAUGUAAGCUUACUAAUAUCCAUCAGGUAGAAUAAAAUUCUCAGUUACUAUGCAGAAUACACAAAACAAGAUUUCCAUGUGUGCUGGUUCAUUGACAUGCCUACUAAGAAUCUUGCAACAAUUUGUAAAAUUCAUGAUUGCAAGGCUGACAAGAAAAGUACGGUUAACGGUUGCACAUGAGUACCCCAAGUGCUAAUAACCUAUUGAAUGAGGAGAUAGGAUAAAUGAAGCAUUUACCAAAUCAUGAUUUGCUAAACAUUGUUGAUUCGCUGAAAUUCUAACGUAAAUAAAGGAUCCAACAAUAAUCAUUGAUCAUGCAUCAAAGUUGUGGAGAACCUCAAUUAUAAAAUAAAAUAAAGUGACAAAAUAGAUAUGUGUCAUCCGUGGUGCCAACAUAGAUAGGCAUUUGUAACUCAAGAUGACAUAGUUUCUUUUUUUUACUAUUGAAAAUGUCUUGGCCAUCAAGUAAUCACCUGCUCAUGAAAAUCGAGUUGUUUUGUGUUCAUGUGUCUGUGUGUGCAUGCGCGGGUAAGUGGGUGGGUGAAUUUUGUGCUUUUACUCUCCUUUUUCAUCUUUUUACUAUUAGAAAGAUAGGAAAGUAUCUAAAUUUUAACAAUUGCCCUCUUUAGUUUACAAAAAGGUACCAUUGAUAAGUAAUGUCAGAUGACAUGACCUUGCACAAAAAAAUCACAACCAUAAAUACCUUAUUGUUGAACUUCAUAAUCCAUACAGAAAAAAUAUCAAGAAAAAUCAGGGGCACUCAAUUCACCAAGUGGACUGACAUGAAAUUUAGGUGGAGUAAAACCAUUCAUGCUAGUAACAUAACUAAUGAAAAUCACAUGAUGAUGAUGACGACAACGAUGAUAUAUGGGUAUAUGAUAAUUCCUUAAAAUAUAGCAUAAAAGUUUAGCCAAGAACCAUUUAGACUAAAGGAUAAUUCAAGGCCUAGUACAAUAUCAUCCCAUGACAGUGUCACAUGGAUAUAGACUCACAGGUGAGAUUUAAGUUCAGCCCAAUCUAAGCAAGCAAAAACAAAAUUUAGAAAAAUAUGUAAGAUAAUUUUUGUAAACUGAAUAGUUGUGGUUCAAAUUAUGUUGAAUGUGAAAUGUAAGAAGAAACGCUUGUAAAAAUGAAAAUUAAAAAAUUAUCACUUUUGAUCUUGUUAUAUUACAUGAACUUUUAAAUCCCAUUAUAAAAAAGAGUUCAAUAAGCAUCCAAGUCAAGACUGCAUAUUACACAUGGUUAAUGGGGGUGGAGACAAGAAUCCGUUAACCCGUUAAUCAAUUUCCACCGUCAUGGACUACACAAUGGAAAACUAGGUAGAUAGAAGGAAAAAAAAAAUUCAAAACUCAAUGUUCAGCAUUCAAUUACCAAAAACUAGAUUCUCUGACAAACAGCACUGCAAAUGAGUAACUAACAUAUAUGUGACAAUACAACAUACAUACAUAUCAAACUUAGGCUACAGCAUAUUGUUGAAGUAAUAGUGUAGAUAGUCCAAAAGCAAUUGCACCAUCUGGGCCUACUUAAGAAUAUAAUGCUCGUGUUAAUAAUAAUCUCUCAAUGAUAUAGUCCCUGAGAAAUCUGGGAAAAAUAGGUAACAAUGAAGGAAAAACGACAACCGACAAUUGAACUAUCAAUCUAUUUGCAAUGAAAUAAACUGAAGUCUAACCUGGCCAUAAAGUCCCCAGCCAAAAGUAAGUAGGGCUCCUGUAUCUGCAAGUGAACAAUAUAUCAAUCAACAUGUGUGACAAUAAAGAGAUGGAACAUCUAUUAGGUAUUAUCCACUCAUCAUGUGACAUCCUGCUAACUGUGUGCAGGCUAAAUUCUAGUCAAGGAUUAGAGCUUCGAAGGGAGAGUAUAUGCAAGUUGUAGAUAUAAAAGGAAUCUUUAUUUAAGGAAAAAGGAUAUGCACAAAAUAAAGUGGAGAAAUACGCAACAAAACUUCUUGUCAAUAAAAGAAAAUUUACAUUAAAAGAUCCUCAUGUUACGAUCUCCUGUUAAUAAUGCUAAAUCCUAUAUUUCCAUCCUUUGACCAUUUACAAAAUCAAACCCCUACUUUCCUCUAUUCAAACUUCCUCAAGAUACUCAAACAUUUAACUAUAUUAAAUAUAUCGAAGUCAAUUCAAGUUUCAAAUUCACAAUUGUUCACCUUGUUAGUAUUCUCAAUGUGCAUCUUUAUUUGUAUUCCAACCUAUUUAAUCUGCUUUAUUUCAUUAGAAAAUUUAGUAGCUAUUUACACAAUGCAAUCUAGUAGCCUAUUCCCCUUGUUGCUAGUAUGUUGAAAGAUGGUAAAAAAUCAUGUCAUAAGCUGCUUGAAGUCUUCCCCCCCUCAUCUUAGCUUAUGAUUGACAUGGCACCAGUACACGCAUGUUCUGGUGCUCACCUGACACACAAAUAGAUGCAUGUAUCUACAUAGGAAGAAUGCAGGGUUAGCAUUAUUAUAUUUUCUAGCUAAAGAAAUGAGUUCUAAAAGUAUGUCAACAGAAUUAAUUCAAAAUCACUGAAAAUGUGUGUCAAUUGACAGUAAGUAUUGUGGCAGAAAAGAAGUAACAAAUGAAUACUGACCUGUAACAGCAGCACUGUGACGACCCCCACAAGCAAUGGCCUUUAUACAGGUUCCUAUGAGUUUAAAAGCCUGCCCAUCUGAACCUUGUUUCCCUUUAGUUGCUGGUGAUGAUUGGUCUUUAGUAAAAGAAGCUGACUCUAUACAAGGUACAGGAUGAGGAGAAGACACAUUCCGGAUACGAGUACCCAAACCAAGUUGCCCUUCCCCUCCAUAGCCCCAACCCCACACCUGACCUACAUCUGAAACUUUGUGAAAAAUGCAAUGUCUUAGCAUUUGUUUGUCCUACAAUUUACAAAUCUAGAGGAGGCUAGAGAAUAAGAAGUGAAGAAAAGGAAACAGCCAAAUGAUGCGGAAAGUUAUAUUAUGCAGAAACUACAUAACCUUAGAUCAAGGAAAUGGACUUACAUGACAAUGCUAGUGUAUGACGUCCACCUGCAGCAACACAUGUGAUACGGACACCUACAUUAAGAUUUACAAGACAUGGAGGUGCUGAAAGAGUUUCUUCACCAGACGAAGAGCUUUCAGGUCCCAGUUUAGCUGAAGAUAACCUUCUUCGCUUUGUAUUCUCAUCACCACCUCCACUAUCAAAACCUGACAUAGUUCCAGUAGUUCUUGAGCCCUGUGACCUAGGCAUCACUGCCAUGGAGAAACCACGAGAACAGACACAAAAGAAUGUUAAACUAAAGAAGCUUUUUUUUUUCUAUUCGAAUCAUCAUAGACAAUAAAUUACUGGUACAACCAUGGUCACUCAUAAAUCCACUAUGUCUUUCCUCUUUUUCUGAGGCUCCUCCAGAGGAAGACUGGUCUCUGACAUUCCUCCCAAAAGGCACGCACUCUUUCCAUCCCCAUGUGUAGACUUCUCCUUGAGCUGGCCUAGGAAGGUAAAUUUUGAGUUUCCAAAAAGCUCAAUGAUAGCUUCAUUUGUCAGAUUAUGCAACAUAAAAUAUGUAGCAUUCAACGCAAGACAGUCACUUCUUUUUCUUUUUUUUUCUACUCUCCAUGAUAAAGAUAGAAUAUGAAUAUACUAAUUAAGAUGUUCAACUUUUUUUCUUGUAUGACAAGUAAAAUAUUCCACCAAAUAUAAACAAAAAGUGCAAGUAGGCAUACAACCUGUGACUGCUACACAGUGAGCCCACCCCGCAGCUGCCUUGACUAUGGGUACCUUAGUUGGGAGGUCAAAUACCUCAGGAGUCUCCUGAUUAAUGCAAAAUGUGAGGCUCAUCCAUCCAAAACAUCGGGAUGCAAAGAAAAAAAUAAGCAUAAAAUAUUAAACACGAUGCUAGUUGAAGGGAUUCAAAAGAUGGCUUAAUUACCUCAUGCUUCCCCGAAGUAACAUAGCUUUGACCCAUGUCAUCUGUAGAACCCCAUGUAAAUAGCUUGCCUGACUCUAAUACAAGAAAGAAGGCAGCAGGAUAAGUUAUUACUCAGUCAACAUUCAGAUCUAAUAGAAGCUAUCUGGGCACCAAAACUACCAAUGACCACAAGGUCUUUGGACUGUCGAGAAAACCAGCAUCAGAUUUCAAAAGGAUUGAUAACUUCAUCAAAAUGGAAAAUAAUUCCUGACUGUCAUUAUUCUGUGAAAAUUCAGAUCGGCGUUCUUCAUCAGCAACUUAAUCGUGCGUAAAUAUUUAAGAUGUUAAAAGGUUGUACUUCAAGCCACCAGAAAUUGAAACCACUCUGAGCCACACGAAAAACAUUCUGCUUGUGAGGAUAUAAACAAAGCACAAAAUAAAGAGAUCAUCGUUAUCAUCAAAGACAAACUCAAGACAUAAAAAUGAUUAAACGGAAAAAAAUUUACUCAGACGUAUUAUCUAAAAUAAUGAAAAACAAUAAAAAUGGAUGGGAAAUCUAAUACUAAAAAAUCAGUUCAGUAACCAAGGGAAGAAUGCAGUCCAAAAAUGGAGGCUAUCAAGAUGAGCAAGCCCAAGUUCGUCGCAACAUCUAAAACACAAAGAAGGAAGAAAAUCUACCUCUUGAAAAUGAGGGUUGCAAAACAAAUUUAGAAAGCAAAAAAGCUCAAAGCCCAACCAACACGAACAAGCAUCUAAAGAUCAAGGACGUUGGCUCUCUGAUAGGAGAAGACCGAAGCAGAAAGCGCAAGCAGAAGGGAUUAAAUAGUAGAAGUAGCGGCCGAUACCGGACAUGGCCAUGGCGAAUCCGCAUCCACCGCCACUGACAUCCUUCCACCGGUCUCCUGCUGGCGAAUCCGGCACUCGGACGGCCACCGGAUGAAGUAAAGGCGAUCUCUGCGGCGACACUCCGGGAAGGUAACCCCACAUCAACACCGUCUUAUCCCUCCCCCUCGCCUCCUCCACCACCAUCAUCUCCUCCUUCCCGUCCUCUUCCAUUUCCUCCCCUCCUCCUCCUCCCCCCUCCUCCCCACCAUUCAUUUCCCUCCCCCAAUCUAUCUAUCGCUCUAUCAAUCAAUCUCCUCAACCCUUUCUCGGCUUUCUUUUCCCCCUCGAUCUCCUGAGGUCGACUUCAAGCUACGCUGAUAUUUGCUCAAAGAAGCAGGACUCAACAACAUCAACCAAGAUAGACCAAACACGAGAGAGAGCAGAGGACAGCCCUAAUUCACCCGCAUCAAUUCGUGCUUCACGGGCCUGUCCACGUAGGACGGACAAAAGGGACUCCGAGACACGUGGGUCGACGAAGGCCGCUGGAUGACCCGGGGCGUUCUUGGCCAGGAGUUCCCAGGAAGCUUCUGGAAGCUGAAGGGCCCAUCCGUGGGAAAGCCGCUCGCUGCUCUCGCCACGCCGAGGCUGAUUCGGGAGGAGUGGCCACCAACACCCCACGUGGCGAUCCCAACCGAGACGCGGGCUGGGUGGCGCCCGUUCCCUCCACUUUUGAUGUGAUUAUUUUUUGUUGCUGUUAGGUUUGGAAGCUUCGAGACAAAACGGGGGUUAAUAAUAAUAUUCUUCUUGUGGAAGACUUGCUGAGACUGACCGUUUGAUUUGGACGCGAGAGGCGAGCGGGAUGGCAACCGCCCACGAUUACGAGGUUUCGUUUCGUUCCUUUUUUGUUGCUGUCUUAGUGCCGUUGACCCAAGUGUUCAAUCCUCAAGUAAAUAUUUAUUUUGGGGGCUUGUAUCAUGAUAAUAGGAUAGCCCGAGCGGAUAAUUGAGAUGAUUGAUAGGCUCUCGAGGUGUUAUAGGCUUUUGACGAUUGAUCCACGAUCAUCUUGAGGAGUAGCUUAUUUGUUGGAGAAAGCUCGGGUCAUCCCGAGAUGUGUCUUGGUUUUCUGGAGGUGCCUAGCAUUGUUCUGAUGUGCUCCUUAGACACGCCUAGGUCCUGUACAAGUGGUUGGCAUCGGAGAGAUGUCUUGACCCGAUCCCUCCAACGCUCAAGUCAGUAGAGUAUAUGGAGGGGGUUUAGUAGAAUUCAGAAGAGUUGAGAUAGAGACCGCUUGCCCCCAUUUGGCUUGGGAGCCUGAGUUUUAUACCUGAGAGAUCAAUGGCGUGAGACGAGCGAUGGGCAAGGGUGUCCCUUACCCUGCUAGGAGAUCAUUGAUGGUGGUAGCUGACGAGCAUGUCCUUUGAAGGAUGAUAUCAGGGUAGGAUGCCCGUAAUGAUAUGCUUUGUCAUAGCCCUUGGCCUGUCAUAAUGCUCGGUGUCUUCUAUGCCCGAAUAUCUUUGUAAACUGUGUUCUUGUCGACCGGGGCCAUUAAUGGCCUUUAAGAUGGCCAACCGGCUUGCCGCCACCCCAAGACUCCUUUUAGGGUCCACUAUGAGGGGCUGACUCAGGAUAUGAGAGUGUGGGAGAGCGCCUCGGUCGCAAGUGAGUAUUGUUGGGGGUCGCUCAGCCUUACUCUGAACAAAUUGGUGUAAUACACCCCCACAAAGUCUUUAGUCAACCAAUGCAAUCGUAAUGAGGUUCCGGUAGGUUCUUGCACAUGGGUCCUUUUUUUCCAUUGCUCCUCGACAUUGACCCAUCCAUUUUGAACAGCAUCACCAUUACAUGAGGGGUCUUGCUGACCGAGCGCAUGACGUCAAGGUAUUGGUGGACGAAUUGUCUCGGGUGAAUGAGGGUCUCCAAGAGAGGGUCGUCGAGUUAGAGAAGAGGCUUCUCUCGUCGACUGAGGAUGCUCCAAUCGCCAAGACAAUUGAUUUGCUGGGGCAGGCUUGAUGAUAAUUGGAAGAUGCCAAGCAGCGUCUGGAGGUCCUGUGACAAAGGUUGGAGGACACUGAGGAGAGGGGCCACCAUUUGAAGGACUAUUUGUAGAUGCACUUUGAUGAGUUGAUGGCCACCAGGAUCAAGGCCCAGGAAGCUAAAGAGCUCCUGGAGGAGGAGCGAUGUGAAAUCUUAAUUUGGAGAUAGGAGCGAUCGUGACAUAUAAGGAGUCAAAAGGGUUCUAACAUGGUCUACUAAAAUCGAGAAGGACUUCAUAUCAAUACAGGCACCUUUUUGCUUUGGGGCAUUUCAAGGUCAAGUACCUAAGAAUAAGCGUCAAAGAGGACCCCUUUAUUCAGUGGCCCAAAGAUGUUUACGUCCCUACGGAGGCGUAGGUCCCCUUUGACGACAGCCCUGACUCGUCCUCCUCUUUUGAUUGAGUGCUUAUGUCGACGGUCUCCGUUUUUUUUUUUUUUUUUUUUUAAGGGCUUCCAUAUGAGUCCACCGGAUGCAGGGCCUAUUGUUUUUUACGAGCCCUUAAUUAUAAGUGUUGCCUGUCUCGAGAUGAUGAGCCCCCUCUAGGUCACUUGGUAGGGGCGCUCUCAACUUGAUGUCACCUUUCUUUUGGAGUCAAUCGGGUUGCUGACUUCAGCUUUUCGAAGGACCAAGUUUCCUACUCCGACCUAUCGUGGUCGAAGACACUGAUUGUACAACUUGGCUAUCAUCGUCUUAUACCUCAAGGAUCAGAGGUGCACCUCGACCUUGAGCUCCAUGACCAAGUUCAACUAGGCUCAGAGUUCCUCCUUGAAUGUGGUUUCAUCGAAGAAUUCUGCUUGAGGAGUCGAAAGGACAACCUCGAGUGGAAGGGUUUGCCCGAGCUAGUUUUGGGAGUAGUUCGACACUUUACCAUGAUGCCUUAAGUCGGGGGUUUCUCCUUCAUGGUGAUCCCAUGGUUAAGCCUCGAGGUGGUUCUUAGCGCGGUCCCUUAUGGGACUUCUCGUGCCGACUCGAGAGCAUGGCCUCAACAGCCACAUACUGAUUGGCCCUUCGUAGCAUUUCAAAUAUGGUUAUGGAUAAAAUUUUCACCAAUAACCAAAAGAAGCGGGUGAGCUUUAAGCCCAUCAUGAAAGCCUAGGUCACCGACGAGGGGUGGGCAUCAAGGACCUCUUAGAUCUCACUGGUGAAUAGGUCGAUGAAGCAGGAGAGAGGCUCAUAUUCCCUCUGUCUCAACCCGAGAAGCGUGGCUGUGGAUGGCUUUGGACACACAUUGGUAAGAAAGUGAUGCUUGAACUCCUUCACAAGCUAGGGAAAGGAGGUGAUCGAGAGGGGUCUUAGGUGGUUGUACUACUCUCAAGCUGACCCCCUAGGAUCAUUGGAAAAUUUUAACACAUUAGGGCAUCCAAUAUGUUGAAUAAUGACAUCUAAACCCUGAAAGCUGUAAUGUAUUACAUUAGGUCAGAGCUACCGUCAAGGGCCUCCAAGAAUAGGAGGCAUAAGUUAGUCAGGCGAGGCUCCUUCUGGAUGCUUUGAGCGAACAAGGAGACGUUUGAGGUGCAGGACUCGCCCUUCAAGUAUAGAAAUUCUUGCUAUACAUCGUUCAGGCGCUAGUUCAUGACUCAGAGUUACACUUUGAGUGAAUCCUCCAUCGAGUCGAUGGUUUGUGUCCCUGACUUCGGCAUGGCCACCCUAUGGCACAACGGGGCACUGAGCUCCAUCGUCGAGGGUAUUUGUCCUUUGGGAGCCACCUCAGCUUAUCGAGGGCAUUCUGAGGGCACCAACAAGGAGUUCAUCGAGGGUGCUCUUGGAGGCGAGGGGAGUAGUGAGAGUUAUAUUGUUGGUCAUUAUCUCGGAGUUACUUGUUGCAUCAAUUGGGGCAAGAGAGUGGCGAUCGCCCACAUCAUGUUGGCAAGUGUCUACACUUGAUGGGUGAGGCCCAUGAAGGCAUGGGAUGGGAUGAAUAAAUGCCUUCACUCAAUGUAGCGCUUGAGUCUCACAUAUAUUGAAUUACAACUAACAUACCAUAGAAGCAUAAAUAAUAUGUACAUAUUAUCCUCAUUUUAUAAUAUGAUUUGUGAUGUUUAUAGUUCAUGAAUGCGAUAAAUAAUAUACUCGUGUUUUCGGCUUUUAAGAUUAAAGUACAUGCUUUCUAAAAAUGUCAUUCUUACUAUUCGACAUAAUGUUGGUUGAGCAUUCAUAAAUACCAAUGUUUACAUUAUGUAUAGCGUAAGAAGCCAAAAUAUGUUAGCGGACUUAAUAUGAGGUUAAGUUACCUUAAUAUUAGGGUGAAGCACGAAUAUUUAUAUGCGAGGAUCAAUAAUUGAGAUGAAAAAUAUCUUGAGUAUUAUAUAUUUUAAAAUAUUUAAUUAUAUGUAAUGUCAUAAUAUUAUUGAUACCAUGAAAAUAUAUGAACCUUGGGUAUUUUUCGGAUUAGAUAUGUGAAUUUUAAAGGACUAAAAUCUGCAUUUAAAGAGAAGGUGAUUUUUAUGCUUCUGGGGAUCUAUUUGUAAAUAUAGAAAUACAGGGAUUAAACUGUAAAAGUAAACAAGUGGAGCGAUUCUUGUCCCACCGCUUCCCAUGCACCUCUGUUCCCGCACGAGGAAACAAAGGAGGUGCAGUGUGUCGGUGGAAGAGAAGGGAAGGAGAGGAAGAAAGAAGAAGGAGAAGAGAAGAAGAGAAGAAGAAGAAAAGGGAAAAGAGGCUGUGGCUAGGGCUGCGGUUGGGAGAGAAGGAGAGGAAGAAGGGAAAGGGAAGAGAGAAGAGCAGGCGACUGCGCUCCUCUGCAUUUCGCAUGAGGAGCUGUGGCUGUGGAAGAAGAAGGGAAAGGGAGAGAGAGAGAGAAAAAGAGGAAGGAGCAAGGGAAAAGCAGAGAAGGAAGGUAAGAGGAGUUGGCGACUACAGCUAUGGGAGAAAGAAGGAAAAAGGAAGAGAGAACAUCGAAGGAGGAAGAAAUAAAAGAAAAUACUGUGUGUAAGAUUAAAGGUUUUAUGCCAUUAUGUUGUGUUUGCUAUGUGUAAGAUUAAAUAUUUUAUGUUAUUAUUUUAAAAUACUAUAUAUUUGACAUGAUUUAUGCUCACCUGAUUAAAGUUACGAAGACUUAUUCUGAAUAAAUUACUAUUAUAUACUAUAUUUUAUAAGUAAAGAUAUUAGUAUCUCACCCAAGUGAUUGGGUAGGAAAGUGAGUAAGUGCAAGCUCAUGUCAAUAUAGAUAUGGAUGAUGACCUAUAGGUAAAUUUUGUAAGGUGCUUCGAGCAUUUAUUAGGGGGAGUAGUGAAUGAAUAUUAUUGUGAUAUUUGGGUCCUUCUUUUAGUACCCAAAUGUUAUUUCCUUGAUUAUCGUUGAUCGGAGAGUCAAUAGAGCAUGGUUUGGUCUCAAAGGCGUAAAUCCAUCAAAGGGGCCCAUAUCGAGGUGAUAAGGUUGGUCAGAGUGGGCAACCGAGGUGGCAGAUAGACACCCAAGGUGUUGCAAGCUCUCGACGACUGAUCUAUGGGCAUCUUCGGGAGCAACUUAUCUAUUGGAGGAAGCUCAGGGUUGUCCCAAGAUACGUCUUGGUCUUCUGGAAGCACUUAGCAUCACUCUGAGAUGCUCCUUAGACGCAUCUGGGUCCUGCAUAAGUGAUCAACAUCCGAGAGAUGUCUCGACUUGACCCAUUUGACGCUCAAGUUAAUAAAAUAGGUUGAAAGAGCUUAGUAGAGAUCAUAAGAGUUGAAAUAGAAUCCCCUUGCCUGCGUUUAAUAGGAGGCUAGAUUUUAUACCUGAACGAUUGAUGACAUGAGGCUAGUGAUAGAUCAAAGUGUCCCUUAUCCUAUAGAGAAUCAUCAAUGGUGAUAAUCGAUGAGCAUAUACUCUUAAAGAUGAUGGUAGGAUAGGACUCAUGAUGAUAUGUUUUAUUAAGGCUCUUGGUUUGUCCUCAACAAGCAUGGAAUGAGCCUCCUGUAUCGUUCAUUCGCGAGAAAGGGCCAAGGAAGUUACGUCAUGCCGUAUGGCUUCAUCAUAUGCGACGGUGGUGGUAACUUCCCCGUGGUGGGGUUAGUUCACAUCGCCGUUAUUGUCACUGUACUUGAUCGGGGUGUCGAACGACGAAGGGCGGGUCGCAUGGAGCGGACGUGGUGAAUGGUUUGGAAAGGGGACGGAAAGCGACGGGAGCGAAGGGGAGAAACCGAUGGACAGAGUUUGGAUCAAGAAGUGUCGAGCUCUACCCUAGAAGAUUACAUCCGAGGGAAAGAGAGGAGAAACUCGAGGGCCGAUGGGUGGCGACCUCGACGUGGGGGCGCACCACUCGGACGUGGUGGAUGUUUUGGACGAAGGGAGACGGGAACAACGGGAGCGAAGGGGAGGAGACAAUGCAUACCGUUUGGAUCAAGAAGUUUAAACUGUGCCCUAAUCGGUUGCGUUCUAGGCAGAGAGGAGAGAAUCUCGAGUGACAUUGUUCUGAGGGAAGGGGUUGAAUCGCUUGAUUUCCGGCGUUCAAGGAUGACAAGACACAGAUCCGUGGCCUAGAAGCAGAAAUGAGGUUAUCCUUCUUCUAACUUGCUUAUUUGGUUCUCCCAUUCUGCCUGUAAAUGUUGAUCGUUCUCGUUCUGUCUCCUUUGAUGGCUAAUUGUUGCUAAUCAUGGUGGAUAGUUACAUUUCAUUUUCUCAAAUUUCCUGUGAAUUCAGAGACAUUCUCUAAGUCGUAAAGUUUUUAUUAUCAUAUCAUGCCCAUAGAAUCCGAGACUUGGACAAACCCUAUCUAAAGGUCAAACCAAAGAUCAUAAUGUAUACAGGUCCACUUAAACCCUUUUCUAAAAUCCACAAGACCCAGGUACAGUCAUAUCCCCACAAGAGGGAUCAGGCUUUCAUAUAGUAUGGAAUUUUAUGCUAACAGGGGAUAUAUAUCGACUGAUAUAGGAACAUACGAUAGAGUUUUUAACUAUCAUUAUCUAAUUUGGACGUGAUUGGGUUACAAGAAGCUUGGAGUCAUGAUUUAUUCUCCUGAUUUAUGUGUGGACGAUAAUUUGUGUAGAUGAGCAGCUGCCUAUGAUCUUUGCCGACGAUGGUAAGAUCGCUAAAGCGGUGAUUCAUGCAAUUUUGUAAAAGGGAACUAGUUGGACUGCUAAUUCCACAUUAGAAGGCUAAAAUCUUUUCCAGUUUGUGGACGAUAGCACUUCUCUUGCCUAUUGAGAAGCUUCACUGCUAUGAAAACUGAAGUUUGUUUCAAGUUGAGGCCAAAUAUCCAAUUAUGAGUUAGGUAAGAGCUAGUAAUUCAUUUAAGUUUACUAAAAGCUGCUAAAAAUAAUGGCACGGAUGAUUAAAAUGAUUUACGAACAUUCAUAAGAAAAAUAUGGAAUAACUUCUUUCCAAGGUUACCAAAGUUUUGAGACUCAGUUUUUUUGGGUUUUUCAUAUAAUUUAGUAAUAUAGUUUCCUUUCUAUAAAAUUUAAAGGCCUAAAAGUGAAUGAAGGUGGGUAGUUUACAGGCUUAAUUUGUGAGUCGUGUUCAUGAAUCAAUGAAACUGAAUCUUUGCUGAGUGUAGCAUUAGAUCAGAUUUCUUUUGGACAACAUACUGUUAGUUUUUCUUUUCCCAUUAUUUUCGAAGACUUUAUGAUCUAUGACCAUGAACUUAAUUAUCAAAAAAGAAUUAUGACCAUAACACAUGGUAUUCUUCCAGUUUUGGUGUGUAUCAACUAGACAAAUGUGCUCUUGACACUAGGGGUAAGUGUUGUGAUUGUUUUAAUGUAUGAUAACAUAAGGGUAAAAUUAACUAGAUCCAAGUAGGUUUCACUACAGCAUACCUGAUAAACUUAAGAGAUGCAAAAUAUUGAAACAAUUAGCAAAAGAUGAUAUGAUUCCCAAGAACAACCUUUUGUCAUCCUUGAAACUGGUUUUCAUAUUAUUACAUGUACUUUUCUUUAGAAAGCAUCCGUACUUGAUUGUCUUUGGUGAAAAUCUUCCUUUGAAAUUCAGUCUAGCUUAUUUAUGAAAGUAGCAAGUAUUUUGAUGUUCCAGUCGGAAUGUAACAAAGAGUUCUCGUGUGUGCGCGCGUAUAUGUUUUGUGCGUGUGACCAUGGUAGGAUUUAAUUUUUUGAAGGUAUGGCUAAGCAAUGUUCCUCACACAUGCUUGGGUGGAAACAAAGGAAGCCAAAAUUGGAUUAUAAAGAUAAAAGUCAAAUUAAAAUUUCUUGUAGAUCGAACUCAGUAUAUUCAUGAUCAAUCAGAACUUGAAUCAUAUCUCUAAGACUUCUAGUUUUCUUCAUAUGUAUACCCCAAGAACUUCUCAUAAGCUUAUCAUUUUCCUUUCCAAAUGUGUCUUCUUCUUGCCCUAAUUGUGCGGAUGGUUCCAGAUAUUGCACUUGGUUACCAAACGAGAGUUGAUUUUGAUGCUCCUCAUUGAGUCCCAAGUUUUGUUGCUUUCUCAUACGAUGCUGAUGAGAACCAGAUUCGAUUUCCUCUCGAAUAGGGUGCAUCUGGAAUGGUAGCACUUCUGCAACUCAUUGAUCAUUAAAUCUGAAACAGGCAUUUGACUUAGUUCAUUGUUCAAUACAUCAAAUAAAUUGGAUUCAUGAGACAAAUGUCAGUUCUUAUAUGUGAGUUCUUAUAUGUUAUGACUGCUGUUAGGGAUUUCCUUCGAUUAAAGUUUAUGAACUCUAUGUUGAAUCUUCAUGUUUUUAUAGAAUUCUUGGUUACCAUAGCAAAAAUUCAAGAUUCUCCAUUAUAGAAUUGUUGUUCUUAUCAUAUAAUUGCUUUUUAAAUUGGUUUCCUACUUUUGAUGAAGAUGGAAUUCUGCUUCUUGAUGUCAACAUAAUUCUAGGAGCUGGAGAUUACUGUACAUGGGCAGCACUACCAGUUUACACACAAGGAGAGCCAACAGAAGGUGUGGGCAGGUAUAUCCUCCCAGAAUAAUCUAAGGAAAUUGCAUUAUGCGGCUUCCAUGUUUAGAAUCAAUUCCCCAAGUUUCCGCAUGUUGUUCAUAGCCUCCGUUUGCUUCAUUUCUUGAUCGUAUCCUUUUAUGUUUUUGCAAUGAUCAAAGCUGUUUAAAACUACAUAAAGUUGCCUUUUAUGUUUCUUGAUAUUUGAAUUAGGUCUAUCCUGGAUUCAUCAAACACCAUGUUGGUGAAAGUUUGAUAACUUCUUCUAUGAUUUAUUUUUUACUAUUAUUUUUGCCCCUGUGGUUUGCAAGUGAUUGGGCGUGUAUGUGCUUAGGGGAAUAUCUAUAUAUACUUAAAACACGAUGUUUGUGUCGUAAUGUUGAUCUGAGUCUUGUUGAGAAUCAAGGAAAAUGCCUUUCGCUAUAACAAAGUUACUUCAUUAAUUCCAUUUCGUUCUCAUUUUCUUAAAAAUAUUUCAUGGUGUGACUUUGUCCAGUAUCUACAUCAACUUGUUUUAGAUCAAGCACAAUCUUUUGCUAAACAUUGGCCAUAACUGAUCCAAACAUCUGUUCAUGAUCCAUCAGGUCGUUCGUCACUGACAAAGGUAGUCGAAAGCCCUCGAGGAAAAGAAGGGAAUGCUGUAAAAGGUGAAACUCUAAUGUCACCAUACAAAUUUGCCACCUUCAUUGUAAUCAACAACAGAAAAGAAAUGAGAAAAGCCAUAGAGAUUCUGGUCAUCUUAAUGAUUUCUCAUCUCCAUCCUCCUCCCAGGUUAGCAACGCCGGCGUUUUUGCUCUUUCACCGCCAGUCAAGGCAAUCUGGUGCUGCUACGGGGAAGCUCAAGAGAUAUAAGAGAAUAAUAGUAAGUCUUUCAGUACUACGAAUUCUUCCUCGUCGGCGCCCUUUUCCAUUUCUCUCUUAGGUCGACGACGACCACGCUGAUGUUAUCUGCGCUGUGCCUCGCAAAGGCCAGCUUUGUCAGCAGUACGGCCGCGUCCGAGCACGAUGCAUCGCCGCCAGCGACUUCCUCUUCUUCGUCGCCGCCGCCCUGCAGGCACAUCCUUGCGAUGUCGCAGGCCGUCUCGUUGCUCACCACGUCCCACAGCCCGUCGCUCGCCAGGAUCAGGCACUCGUCGCCCUCCUCCCUAUCCAACACCGUCACCUCCGGCUCCGAUAUCACGUACGGCUUCAAAUAACUGUCCCCUGUUUUUAUGGUUCAUGUUUUUACGAUCGACUGAUUAACCCCACAGACUUCCAGAUACUCGGAUGGGGGAGGGAGAAGAAACAGCGGACUUGGAGCUUACCUAUGGCUCGAGACAUGGCGAGCACGCCAAGAACCCUCGCCCCGUCCCAAUAGAUCACUCGACCCCCAGCGGCUUCGAUCCGCUGCAGCUCGUCCUCUCGGUCCGGCUGCAAAAUUUGCACAUCAUCAGAACCAUUACUUGUGUCGGCUGCCCGCGGGCUAAUUUACUGGUGGAAGGAGAAAAAAGAGAUCCCUUUCCCUUCGAUACCUUGUGGUCGGAAGAGAGGGGGAUGGGGGCGCCGUUGCGGCAGAGGACGGCGCGGGAGUCGCCGCAGUUGGCGACGACGAUCCGGGUGGGGCUGACGACGGCGACCACGGCGGUGGAGCCCACGUGGUCACACCUCGGCGGCUGGAGCUCGCAUCGGCAGUCCUGGCUCGGGCGCUCACCGCUCCCGUUCACCGCCUCCGCGUCCACCCGAGCGAAGCUCCUCUCCAUCGCCACCCUCCAUGCCUGCGGCGAUGUAGCGGCACCCGACGCAAGCGUCUCUACUUCCUCCGCCACCACCUCGUGCAUCCGAUCGCUACACAGCGACGCCACCUGCAAAGCACGGAAGAACAGAUCAGCUACUGGAGAAGAACAGGAAGAGAGUUGGAAAGGGACAAGGGGCCUAUCUUACGUGAGAGCAGCCAUGACCAUCAAAGACGCCGAAGAAAUGGUGCCUCGCCGAAACCCCAUCGUCUCGCCGAACAAAGUCGGGACGGAUGGAGACGGCGUCCUCCAUGUCCCUCCUCCGCCCGCAGACCGCAGCCAUCCCAAACCUCGGGCGCCGACCGGACGUCCCCAAUUCCGCGGACGCCAUAAUGGGAGGCUCCAGACUCGGGCUCCCACCCGGUGUCGUUCCAGACUUUUCCGCGCUCCCGGAGGAGCUGCCGCCAUCCAUCCUCUGCCGCUUUUCACUGGGUUCGUCCUCCACCGCUGGUGCCUCCACCCCGGCGACGAAGCUGAGCCGCCGGAUCUCCAUCCGGCGCCGCCUCGCCGCGCGUGAUACCGGCUCGCAGGACUUCAAAGCCGCCGUCUCCACGCCACAACAGAUCUCCGCCAUUAUCGAGGUACACACAAGAAAAUAGAAACAAAACUUGGUACCCCUCGCUCUCUCUCGCUCUCGAAUUCGAACCGGUGGAAGGUAAAAGAGAAGCAGCCGAGGGUCAGCCGUGGCUCCUCAGAAAUAAGUCACACUCAGCACACUACGCCGACGAGUCUACCCGCCUUCUCAUUGGGCAAGAAGGUUUCUCAAUCAGUUGGUCCUACACGAAUAGCGUCGUUUUCUCCAACCGAAAUGCAGGAAGAUGAGACGGUGCCCAGAGACGUAUAAGAAAGACGUGGCUGAUGGUUUGCUUCCACGUGCCACCUGUUCCCCAACAGAGCGGACGAAUCCGAAGCGUCCAUCGUGGUCGGUCUCACCUCUCUCGCUCCUCUUCUCGACGCGUGUGCAGGCGUGGGUUGGGAGGCGAAAGCGUCGUGGCUUAUCUGACACGCGUGUGGUCCCCGAAUACGAAAAGGUAAUGCCACUAUUAUAAAUUAAACCGGAUCGAUCGGUCGGGACUCGCCUCGCCUUUCGAUCAAACGGUGUGGGAACGCAUCACGUGGAUGCUUCGGCGCCGUACACGAUUGCUUCGGUUCGAUUUCUCCAGUUUUAUAUAUAGGGUGGCAACAGCGCAUGUAGACAUGGGAUGGGAGCGACAUAAUAAUAUUAGUAACGACAACAGCAACAACAAGAAUAACGCCUACUCCAGCCAGUAAAAUACCAUGGUCGGCGGACUCUGUGAUCGACACGCGUCCUUGAUGGCGUGUCUUCGAGUCACGUUCCUCUGACUUGGAUUAACAAACCUCAGACUCUUUUUUAAUGGAAUUGAGACGUAGCUAUUUGUAUUAUAAUCGGUGCCCGGAUAUGAGUUGAUCCGAUCGGAUGUGGGUUGUGUUCGACCAUGCGAACCACCCGAUAGACGGGUCAGGAUUUCGGACCCUGUGCAGAUACUUUAGCAAACGGGUCGGAUUAGGCCGAAACAGUUCGAGUAUGACCCGGUAGUGGAUGGUAUGUUCAUCGGCUCUUAAUAUGAUGGUACCAGCUAAAACUGAAGGUAUUUGUAAAUUAUAAUUUACAUAUAUAUUUAAGUUAAUUGUUGAUCAGAACUCCAAUUUUCACUAAUAUAUUUUGAAUGAAAAAAAACUCAAUAUGAUGCUAAAAAUAUUAAGGAUAUUUUAAAUAUUCUAAACCCUGUAUAGUUUUUAUUAUGAUAUAUCAAUAAUAACCGUGAAUAGAAGUGAUAAACUUGAGUGUUUUGGAGGUAUCAUCAAAAUUUAUAAUGAUUAUUAUUAUAUUAUGUUUUAAAUUUAACAAGGAUAUAUAUCAAAAGAACUUUUUCCCCGCACCACACAAUUUUUAAGUCAAAUCAAGAAAAAGUAAAAAGUAAAAGAGAUCGAUGGAUGCCCCACCCCCACCCCCACUCACGAGAAAAAAGGUGAAAUUAGAGACUGAUACUUGUACAUUUGAUCAUCUCCAAGAAAAGAAGCUUUCCAUGGUCGAUCACCCCGAAAUGCUAUCAUUGAGAGGUGAUGGGCUUAUUGUGUGAUCAAAGAUCAACCACGAAGACUCAGUCGCAAUAAUCCCUGUUUAGCUGUGUUGUUGUCGUCAAGAAGAAGACGUACCACUUGCGAUUCAAGGUUUGUCAACUUAGAGCUCCUCCAAUAACUUAUUAUAACACUAAAUCCAACCGAUACAUGAUGACCACAUAAUAGAGGCAGACAAAACACAGGGAACCUAUUUAGGUAUCACAUAACCAUGGUAAACGCAUCUCGGCAGCCAACGGGCCAACCACAAAAACGGUUUUAUUUGGAGGAGAUCGCCGUGGCUUCGGGUUGGGUUUAGAGGUUGCCGUUGACAGAUUUACCACCGUCGACGCAGAUGACUUGGCCAUUGAUGUAGCAAGCAGCAGGGAGGCACAAGAAAGCCACCACAGCUGACACCUCCUCCGACUCGGCCACGCGCCCGAGAGGGAUGCGGUACGUCUCCUUCGCCACGAACUCCUCGAUCGCAAGCAACUGUGUUGGGGACGCAAACAUUUAAGUUUGGAAUCCAGGCAUUUCAUCAACUAGGUGGUGGCGGAGGAGGUCAUUACCGGUUCCAUGAGAGGGGUUCUAACGGAGCCGGGCGCGACGCAGUUGGUCCGGAUGUUGUCCUUCGCCCACUCGCAGGCCAGGCUCCUGGUGAGCUGGUUCAGCGCCGCUGGAGAAGAGCAAGCGAGAGUCAAGUUGCUGGAGAUCUCGAAGAGCUCCAAGAGCUCGACGAGUAAUCGAGUACGUACCUUUAGUUGCUCCGUAGAUGGUUAUGUUGUCAAUGCCGACGAUGCCGGCGAGCGAGGAGACGUUGACGAUGGUGCCUGCUCCUGAUGCCUUGAGCAGGGGGUGGGCGAGCUGGGUCAGGUGGAACGCAGACUCCAGGUUGGUGCUCAUCAUAAACUUGUACUCGUCAGGGGUUAUGGCCACCAUCGGCUUCACAAACCCCGUCCCUGCGUUGUUGACCUACACGACGAGCACAACAAGUUCACAAGCAGCUCAAAUCACGAGUGGAGAUCUUUUUGUCGCUCACCAGGAUACUGAGCUUUCCGCCGAAGGUGGACUUGACGUCCUCCAUUAGCUUCUCUCGAUCAGCUUGGCACGAGACAUCGCAGACGGAGCCUGUGACCUUAAAGUUCUUCGCCCCCCAUUCUUUCAAGCACUUGUUGAGCUCUGCUUCGUUUCGGGAGCAGGUGUGGAUGGCUGCUCCGAAUCUAGCUAGUUCCUCGACUAUGGCAUACCUGGAAGGCGGACAACAGAGCUCAGUUCAUGGUGGCCGAUCACGAACAAGAAAAUAAACCCUGCAGCUGCUAGAGAGAUGUAGACAUGA
rnacentral:lncRNA from 1 species